rnacentral:lncRNA from 1 species
AAUCCAGUAGAUCUAUACACAAAUGAAAAUCUUGAAAAUGAACGGUCUAAAUAAUGUGGUUCAAGAUGCACUAUUUAUGGGACUCAAAAUCCUUCCUUUUUCUUUUCAUAUUCAUGUAUCUCGACAUCCAGAUGAUCAAUUAGAGGGUCUUUUAACAUUAAAACAACCACUUCCGAGAGAUUUUUGAGGUGCAUCCUUAAUUCUAUAUUUUAAAGUUGCAACCUUAUAUAAUUUCUUUCCAUAAAAGAAACCUUUGUGAGAAACAAUAGGUAUUAACCAAGUAUCUUGGUUUAUCGUCAUUCAUUUUUAUAAAAAAAAUUUAAAAAAAAGAAAAGGAAAAAAAAUAAAGCUCCAACCAAUAAAAGCUGUUCUUCAUUUAUUUGUGUCCCAUAAUAAGUGAGAGGCUAAAACCUCAUCGUGAUGAAGAGAGAGAGAAAGGUAAUGAUGUUUUCCUAGAGAGAGAAGCUAGUGAACGUUCCUUUGGCAACCGUUGGCCUUUGUGCACGGGCGGGUGUACUUGUUCGCCGGUGGACCAAUACGAGCCCCAUCUUGUAGGAGGCAGCCUGGUUGCGUUGCCCCUGGUUUGGCACAAGGGUCAAGGUUCAAGAAUUUCUCAGAGGGGGAGGCCAUGAGGACCCCAGCCCAAAUCAACACCAGAAUCAACCUCAUAAACAAGACCCCACACCGCCCCAUCUCUUUUCUCUCUCUUCUUUCUCUUCUCCUUCUCGGUCUCUCUCUCCUUUCCCUACGUAAUUUAUAAGGUUUUCUAUGGUUGAAAUUUGUUACAGGGGUAAUUUUUAGUAUGAAAGAGAAAAAAAUUGGAAGUAAUUUUUAGCAUAGAUCCUACUUUUAGCGUGUGGACAUGCUUGAUUGGUUCUAGUUAGUGACACAGAGGGAUUUCUGAUCUAAACACGUCCUCUAAUCUUUUGAAAGCCCCACGUCCCAUGCUGAAUAUUGGUUAAGGAUUCCUUAAAAAAGUAAGGCUGUGGCAACGACUGCGCUGGGUCCGGCCCGUAUCCCCACAGGGCUUGACCUGGCCCUACCCACAGUCUGUAGUUGCUUGGCCCUGGCUACGCCUUUGGGCCACAUUUUGGGGCACAAGCCCUAAUUUUUAGGGUUGCCGUGCGCCACCAGGCCCAUUCCCAGCCUUUAAGUAAGUAGCAUUUCACAUCGGACACAUGGAAAAUAAUUUCGGGCGAUAUUAAGCGAAGGUCUGUCGAGCUUAGGUUUUUGUAUUUUUAUUUUUAUUUUUAAAAAUCAUGAUUGAAAUCACCCAAAUCGAAUCGAAAAUCAUUGUGGUCAAGUCUGUAAAUAAAAUAUCUAAAUCACCUAAUUCGAAUAGAAAAUCAUUGUGAUCAAGUCCGUGAAUAAAAUAUCGAAAUCACCCGAUUCAAUUCGAAAAUCAUUGUGGUCAAGUCUGUGAAUAAAAUAUCUAUUUCUCAUAGUGAACCGAUUGGCUCAACCGGGUUCCCACGAAUUUUUCAAAUUUGUUUGUUGAAGUUUAUGUUUUCAAUUAAAUGGUGGCCCACCACGCUUUUCAUAUCGUCUAACAUCAAGAAACGCCUAUGGACCCUACCACUCUGUUGGGGUUGAUAAAUAUGGGAAAGCUUUUCUAUGUUGGGGCGAGUAAACUUUGUGUAAAUAAUAAUGGAAUAUUUAAAGGAUAAAAUAAUAUUAUUUUAUAGAGCACCUUUGGGCCAUACACCUAUUUUUUUAUUUAUCUAUUUUUUAAUUUCAAUUAAAUGUGAUUAUAAAUUUAUAUUUGCAAUUUCUAAUUUAUGACAAUAUUAAUUAUUACACCUUAUAUUAUUUAUUUGGCAAAAUAUAUUAAAAAUAGAAUUUUUUUUGUUAUGUAGAAAGGAUUUUUUUUUAAUUAUAAUCAUGUGACGAGACUUUAGAAAUGAUUUAAUUAAUUGAAAUAUGAUAUUGUUUAUUCUCUUUUUUUUAAGUGAUCAAUGCAAACGACAUCUCACUAUUCACUUAUUUUUGCAAGUUAAUAAAAAUACAUAAUGCAUUGCCCUCAUUUUUUCUUGAAAACCAAAAUACUAUUAUAUAUAAUAAUUUUUAGUUAUUUUUUAAAAAAAUUUAAAUACCCGUCCAACCGAUUCUCUGAUCCAUAACGUCUAUUAGACCAAGUUUUUCAAAUAGACGAUCCAGAUCACCGAUUUAUUCUUCAAACCUUGAUCAAAACCAUGAAAGAGCGCGCUUACCUGUCUACGUAGGCUUUGUACUAAUUGCGACCUUUUCCAUAUCAGAAUUUUUAUGAGAGACCUACAAUAUACUAAUUCCAUCAAAAAUUAAAAUGAUUUGCAACUCGAAAAUGUUCCAAGACUCUAAAUUAUAAUCUAGGGUUUUGAGAGGUCCAUAGCUUUUUAUUGGGAAAAUUGCAUAAAACCCGCUAUAAUGGACUUCCUAAACACUUUACUGCACCUAAGUUUUUCUAACAAUGUUUUCCCCAAAACUAUCCUUCCUAGCAAAUAACCCCCCAACACAAAAAGUUCAUUUUUUUUUAUGAAACCUUCUAUUGACGUAUUCACCGGACUGCCCCUUCCAAACACCGGACUGCACCAUUUACAGUGACUUCAGUGCCGGACUGCCCUUUCCAAACGCUGGACCGGCGAAUUACAGUCACCUCAGUGCCAGAAUGCCUCAGAGAACUGUCGGACUGGCUGCUUGAAGUGCCGGACUGCCUCCGAGAACUGUCGGACUGGCCGCUUGAAGUGCUGGAUUGCCCUUUCGAAACUCCGCACCAAUUCUAGUGACUUUAAUGCCUGACUGCCGCUUCCAAACCCCGAACUGCACUAUUUACAGUGACUUCAGUGUCGAACUGCCCCUUCCAAACACCGGACCGACGAGUUGCCAGUGACCUCAAAGUAGAAAGAGAAAAAUAUAAAAAAUGGGUUAGGGUUACGUAUGGGUAAGGGAGGAGUAUUUUAGUCUACUUUUUUUUGCUUUUUGAGUGGGGGGGUUAUUUGCUAAGGAUAAUAAUUUUGGGGAAAAAAUUGUUAGGAAAUAUUAGGUGGGGGGUACAGUGCUUAGGAAGCCCAUUUUGAGGGGUUUUAUGUAAUUUUUUCUUUUUAAUUUUUCUUUUUCCUCUUAUUGCAGUUGAAAAGGCAUGAACUAAGGAUAAAACCAUCAAAAUUGCACAAAUAUUAAAAUUGAUGAGGUUUCUGCUUAAGCUUUAUGAAAACAGAAUAAAGUCUCACCUCAAAUCCUCAUUCGGAAAGUACUUUCGGCAAAAUAAAUUUCUAUGGUUCAAAAAUCAAUUUCCAACACCGACAAUAAAUUUUGAAACUCAAAAAAGUACACACAAAGUUUUAAAGCAAAAUAAACGGUCUAGAUAAUUUGUUACAAUAUACACUAUUUUUAGAGCCUCAUUUUUUCUUUUUUUUUCACAACGAUACUGUUCAAGUCGAGAUGAUCGAUGUAAAGGUUUUCCUUGACAUGCAAUUUUUUGUGAGUUCUGCAAUUUUUUGUGAGUUAUGAAGUGAGGAUCUACUUAUUUUGAUAGUGUUGCAGCCCUAUCAAAUCAUUUUCUUUUCAAAAAUUCCUCAUUGGUUUAUACCCCCAUAUUUGACACAUUCAUGCAUAUAGGGGUGGCAAUAGAUCCGGUUAGACUUGAGACACGACCUCAAGUCUGGUAUGGGUCCAAAUUUGGGACUCAAUACUAUUUGGGUCCAGGUCCGGUCCAACCGUACUAGAUUCGUACCCAUAGUUAAAGGGCAUAUGAUGGCAAUUAUAUGCCUUUUUAGGCACACGUUAAGUGUUCAUACUGUCACAAUAUUAGCAACAUCUAUAUAUUAUUGGUAAAAAAGAUGAAACUCAAAGUCAUAGGGUAUAUAUAUAUAUAUAUAUAUGAGAGUAAUGAUCUUAUAGGAUUCUCCUCCAUCCAUGUGUGUAAGACCCCAAAGAAUCACCAUCAAACAUCGAAGAUAAGUAUAAAUUCUGCAGAUAUUGUUACUCUUCCAAGAAAAUAUUGGGUUUUGUAAACCCUAGAUUUCAUUCAUAUUUGAUGAUUGAAAGGAGUGAUUCUAGUUUUAGCAAAACCUCUUGGAAAAGAGAACAAAAGAUGCAGAGAGCAAGUAAUAAUAUAAAAGUCAGCCAUAUUUCUUCACUUGCAGCUGUGUGAGUGGUAAAUUCAUCGGCAUGAGUCCAAUCACAAUAUAAUGCUCUCAAACCCUAUACCUAUACCGCCAUUAGCUACACCCUGCAAUGAAAUAUUUAUUUAUAAAAAGGCAUCUAGAGCUUUAUAGCUUAGUCAGAUUCAUCAAUUCUAAUUUCUGCUCGUGAGGGGUUAAUUCUAUGUCUUACCGUCAAUCUACCAUAUAACUUUAUUCCCUAGUGAACUUAUUGUAAUUCAUAGGACCACCAAGUUUCAUUUUUUUUACCGAAUUUUCCACCUAAGCGAUGAACUUCAAUUGUAUAGAUUCCCAGCAUAGGCUCUAUGCAUGUUAUGCAUAUAACCAUGGGUACAUGCUGUAUGUCAUCCAUCAGGCAAAAACCUUUUAUAGAUAAUAAAAUUUUGAUUUUUCUCUCAAAAUAAUUAAGUUUGAAUUUUUGUUUUUAACUUAGACAAUUUUUAGAUCUCAAUAUUCUUCUACAGGUUUUUCUUGCGAAUACAUAGUAUGUGCCCAAAGGCUUACUAGGAUUUGAAAACCCUUACUCUCCAAAGCGUUAUAGGAAGAACCAAAAUUUUAUUGAUAAGUUCUCUCAUGAGGACUUUUUUUAUUAGUGGUCCCACUGGUUUUCGUAACCACUAAAAUAGAUAUUUGAUAUAUUUUUAGAAAUAUAUUUGACAUCUAAUGUUCUAUUACCUUGGAUGCCGAGGUUUAUAUUGUCUAGAGCCUCAAACAAUAUCCUAAAUUGUUCUUUGUUUUGUGGGAGCAAACAAGUAGUUUCCUUCCUCACCAACACAUUGCAAAUAUAAGGUUUCUUUAUAAUUAUGCUUAUCAUUACUUUGGUCCUCUUCUUCAUUAAAACAUAAUACUUAAUAAUAGGAUAAUUUAUACUAUAGUAUAAUAAAUAUAAUAUAAUAUAAUGCAAUAUAGUAUAAUAUAAUAGAAAAAAAUUAUAUAAGGUUGCAACCUUAAAAUUUAGAAAGUCCAUCACAACAACAAUUUUGAACCCUAAACAUAGUGUAUCUUGCAAAAAAUUAUCUACACCGUCCAUUUUCAAGAUUUUCAUAUGUUUAUAUAUAUCUACUUGAUUUUUUAACCAAUUUUUUAAAUUNNNNNNNNNNNNNNNNNNNNNNNNNNNNNNNNNNNNNNNNNNNNNNNNNNNNNNNNNNNNNNNNGGUAAAAAAGGGACAAAAAAUACAUAAAUAAACUCAUAGUCAUGGCGUAGAUCCGGAACAUGACGGGUCUGGAUCCAAGUCCCAAUUUUGGACCCCCACACCAUUCGGUUCCGUCUUGCCACCCUACAUGCAUACCAUCUCUCUUCGUCCAUCGCACACGUAACAUCCACGGCAAUAAAAGAAACCUCGGUAAGAAACAAUAACUAUUAACAAAAUCUCUUUAUUUAUCAUCAUUCAUCACUUAAAAAAAAAAAAAGCUCCAAUAAAUAAAAGCAGUUAUGCAUGAGAGGCUCAUAAUGCCAGACCGAUGAAGCUUUAGAGAGAGAGAGAGAGUGUGAUGAUUUCCUAGAGAAAGAAAGAGAGCUAGUGAUGAUUUCCUAGAGAAAGAAAGAGAGCUAGUCAUGUUUUCCUAGAGAGAGAGAAGCUAGUUUCCUGGAUGCCCACUAAUGUCCCUUUGGCAACCAUUGGCCUUUGUGCAUGGGCGGGUAUACCUGUUGGCUGGUGGACCCAUACCAGUCCAACUGGGUGGGACGCAGCCUGGGUUCGUUGACCCUGGUUGGGCACAAGGGUCCGUGCUCAAGAAUUUCCCCAUAGAACGAGUAGAAGCAAUAGAGGGAGUGGCCAACAGGACCCCACACCAAAUCAACACCACAAUCAACCUCAUAAACAACACCCCACCAUGCCCCAUCUCUUCUUUCUCUCUCUAAAAAUUGGUGUCUUCUCUCUCUCAUGAGUGGGGUAAUUUAUAAUCUCCUAUCAUUCAAAUUAGUAGCUACCUAUUACAGGGUAAUUUUUAGAAUGUAUUCUAUACUUUUAUUGGAAAAAAUAAACUAUUAAAGAAACUUUAGAUUUUAUGCUAUUUUUAAAAGCCAUCCUAGUUGGCUCUAAUUUAAUUUCUAUUCUUCAAAGUCGUUGGUAAAUGUGAGGGUAGGAUAAGGGUUCCUUAACUAUUUAUAAAAAUAGAUAAAAUAAAGAAAAACAACAAUUAAUCUUAAAUUGGUGUUUGGUGAGUCGGACGACCACCUACAACUAUUCUGAAUUUAUAUUCGGGACCCAUCAACAUCAUCAAAGUCUUUUCCAAAAACCUGCAAUUAUUAUGUUUUUACUUAAAACAAAAACAAAGUUCAAUUUCACACUUUGUUUUUUUUUUUUCUUUGUUUUUGAAUUUUUCAGGCCACAGGACCCUUUUCCCCUUAAUUUGUCGCUCGAUUGGAAAUCAAAAUACCUUACCAAUAAAACUUUAAAAUGAAAAAUAAGGAGACAUCCUUUUGCCUAUAUUUUACUAUGGAACCAAGACAAUUUUGUUUUUGGGUAGGCAAAGUAAAAUUUCAACCAGGCAACAGAAUCAAAACCACACGAGACGGGCCGAGAGAGAGAGAGGGAUGAAUGGAAAAGAUUUGCAUCAAAAGUACCUAAUUACUUAACGGAAAAAUUUUAUAUAAGGUUGAAACCUUAAAUUACAGAAUUAAAGUGCAGCUCAAAAAUUCAUCAGAAAAAAGUUGUUUUGAUGUCGAAAAACUCUCUAUGAUCAUCUCGACAUUGCUAUAUGGAUAUGAAAAAAAACCAAAAAAAAAGAUUUUGAGUUCCAAAAAUAAUGCAUUUUACAACGCAUUAUCUAAACCGUCCAUGUUUAAGAUUUUCAUGUGUUUAUAGAUCUAUUUGAUUUGAACCAUUUUUGGAGUUUAAAAUUUAUGAUAAAAAAAAAAAAUAGACUCUCAAGCCAUUCUUAUGAAUUUUUUACACCAAAAUUACGUCUUAUGAUAAAAUUUGUAAGUGCGCCUCUCAUAGUUUAAGAUUGUAACCUUAUACAAACCAUAACCUUAAUUCUUAAAACAAAAGAAAAUCAUAAUAAUCACCAUUGCAAUUUCGAAAUUUAUACAAGUUAUAAAAAUAUGGCCCUCAUAAAACUAGAGCUACAAUGGUGCUAAAGGAAGAAUCACCCCAUAGAGCUAUUCUUCCUCCACCUAGCGCAUCCAUCAAAAUAGUAGUCCUGUAUACUCUCUGCCUCACUUGGGGCUUCUCUCUCUUUGCCCCUCGCUGUAAGCACUUUUUUUUAUUUUUAUGUUUAGUUCUUUGUUGGGAUUGUGUAUUAUUGGCCCUAUGUUGUUUUAGUGGGCAAGAAGAUCCAAAAGCAUAGAAUAUUAUUUGCAAAUUGCAAUGCUUUGCAAGAAAUAAAGAUGCCAUAAAAGGACACUUCUUUGAACUUUCAAGAGAGAGAGAGAGAGAUGGGCAGAUGCUGAAACUUCUAAUUUUUAUAAAGGGACAGUGCAAUGCCGAAUGUUUCUGAAGAAAAUAAAAUCCAAAAAAAAAAUAUUUUCAUGUUUAAGGUUGGGAGCAAGCGUUAACUCCCAAAAAUAAAUAAAAUCCAAAAAAAAUAUUUUCUUUUUAUAAUUUAAGGUUGGGAGCAGGCGUCAACUCGUUAUUGGUUCCUGAGCACAGGAAUCUACUUUUUCUUUUUAUUCAGUACAUAAUUUUGACUUGUCUCAUGCUCCAACAUCCAUUCCUGUCAAUGGACAGUGGAGAUCGAGUGUGGUGGGCCGCGCUUAAUUUCCAUAGCUUAUCAUGAACAUACAAUUGAUCUAUAAAGCACCAUAAACCAUGCUCAAGAGGAAUACGGUCUCCUUUCUCACGCCAAAGGAGAAAAAAAAAUACAGGAAGUAAUGAGAAGGAAAUGGGGAAUCAUGUUCAAUCAAUUAAUUCACAAGAGAUUCAUUUUGCUUGAUCUUCAUCUUAUCUACGCAUGACUCGGUUCCUCUCACGCUUUCGAAAUCGCUCAAGCAUGAAUUCGUCUGUUGCAGCUUGCCUCCUCCCUCCUUCUCCUAACAAACUGCCCUCAGUUGGUUUUGAUCCAUUGUUGCUAUCACGUGCACUUUUAUCUUUGUAAAGCUCCGGGUGCUCUGUGACCCAAGAGAAAGUUUGAAGGAUAUUUUAUAAGAUCAUGUAGAAUAAUAAUUUACAGAGAAACCAUGAAUUAUGGUGUCUCAUAAUUUCCCAAAUGGCACCGAAAAAAAUGAAAAUGCCCCAGAAUAAAAAACUCGAGGACGAUAAAGUGAGAUAGACUAAUUCUUUUCAUUUUUGUUUGUGUGUGUGUGUGUGUGUGAGAGAGAGAGAGAGAGAGAGAGAGAGAGCUUUUCCUUUUUUUUAUUAGGUAAUCUCAGGAUUUUAACAAGACCUCAGGAUUGAUAGCUGCAUGCUCCAUACCUAAGCACCUCAAUAACAUCGAACAUAUCAUUCAAAAAUAUAUAUUAAAACUCAUUCAAUACAAUAACUAGUGUUGAGGGAUGUGCCAGGAAAUUGCACCAGUGAAGAUAGAUAAGAAUAUUCACCGUUCCAUGAAAAAUAACAAAAAGCAACCCAAAUAUCCAAUCCCAAGUUUUUUCUAUGAAAAUGCCUAAAUUUGAACAGAUUCCUCCUGAUAAACGAACAAAUGAGUGUACUAAUUUUUCUUAAUUACAGCAAGGAUCAGCAAUUAUAAUCAUAGUUUCACAAUUACUUUUAUUUAUAGCUGUAAGUUGCGCAUUAGUCUGUGGAACUUAAAACCAACUGAUGGUAUCUCCAAAAUUAGAUUUGCACAUUAAAGAAUAUUUUGGAUGAGCUAUAAAGCAGGAAAGCAUUUCCAAGAUCUAAAUUAAUCAAAAGUAGAUUAAAUCUUCCUUUCAAACAUGGCCAGUAGUAAGAGAACAAAACAAAGUGGAAAAUAAAUAACAAAGAAAAGAGAUAAACAAAGGCACAUUUGCACAUACCCUGGCGAAGUUUCUCAGCAUAAUCUCUUCCACGCUGAAAGUAGUCAGCACUGUAACUGGAAGGGAUGCUGACUUCUGGCCUUGCCCGGCCUACAAACCGUUUAUCCUGUAACAGUUUCUUGGCAGCCUCAGUUUCCUCAAUAUUUCUUAACUUGUACCUAAGAUACAACAAGAAGAUUAUUCAAAUCAAUAUUUUCUUCUCUUCUAUGAUUAAGAAAUAAACAAGUCGUGCACAAUGUAUUUUAAUUAAGAAGGAUCAAAGAACUCGAGAGUAAUUAAGAGAACUCCAAUGGUUCCUGGAAAUGCAUUACUACCACUAACUAUAAAUAUAUAUGUAUAUGAAGAAAAGAAAAGCCAAUAUGUUUGUUUGGCUUCACAAGGAAAAUAUUGCAAUUGUUUACAAUCAAUCAAAAAUGCCACCCAAACUUCAAAGAAAUAAGAAAACUAACAGUUACUUCAUACAGAAAAGGACCUCGCUCAUAUUUUCCUUUUUUUCCUUUUCCCUGGCAUCACAUGAUGUUGUAGAUAACAAUAAAUGUACCUCUAGAUUAAAUUGUUACAGCCAAUAGUAGAACUAAUUAAUAUAGCAACCACUAUCAAAAGCUCAUGCACUGUCUCUCCAUAGUAGAUAGACCUUUAUUCUCUUGCAAUUUUUUUUUUUUUUACCCCCAAUAUUCUUCAAGAGCUGGUACAUCAAAGGCUCUAGAAAUGUACAUAUUUCACUCCAUAACUUCCUUUCAGUUCUAGUUUUUUGAAUUCUGAUGACCGAUUACUCAUAAAUUGGCCCUUAGAUAUCUAUACUUAAAAGCCUGAGAUUGAUUGCGAUAUCAAUUUAUUCCUCAGGCCUCCACCACAAAUUGCUGAUAUUCAAUGUUUGCAGUAUCAUGCAACUUAAAUGGUUUAGGCCAUGUAAUGCAUGACACUGUCAUAAGGGGUUGCAAACCAAAAAGAAGAAAGGUAAUUAACUCAAUCCUAUCUCUUGAGCAUUUGCAAACAUUCUUAAGCACAAGGGUAGGAAUGACAAGAAUAACUGCAUACUCAAUAGGCAACUGCACUUCAGCGAUUCCAGUGGUCCACUGAGUAGAACUUUCUUCUGAAUUCCGCCUCUUCACCUGAAACAGAACAUCAAAAUUGUGAUAUAGAGAUUAAAAAACCAUGGCGUAGGAAACAAUGAGAAACACCUUGAUCCUUUAGUUUCAUCCUUUUAUAAGUUCAUUCUAUGCAUAAAAUAAAAAUAUGGCCAAAUUACUUAACCUACAUUUUAGAACAAAAGUGAUAGAUUUUAAAAGUUUGGACAGCAUUAGGACAUCUAGCUGUACGUACUGCAAGAUCAAAUAGACAAGAUACGGUGGAUUGAGGCAUACAUGCAAACUUCCAAUCAGAAAUAGUUAUUCAUUUUUUUAAGCUGAAAUUCAGAAACGGAUAGACUAACAUUAUUCUCCAUGUAAUUUGCGAAUAAUGGCCUUCUAAACCAUAUUCCUUUUUUAAGCUGAAAUUCAUAAACGUACAAAGACUAACAUUAUUCUCCAAGUAAUUUGCAAAUAAUGGCCUCCUAAACCAUCAGAAACAAGUAUCAAGAAAAGAAUAUACGAAAAAAUACACAUGAAAACACUCCAGAAUGAAGCAUAUUUCUUAUUAUAAUCUGACAUAAAUGGCCCAUGCACUACCCAAUGACAUGAACAGAUCAUCUUACAUAAUAGGUGACUAGGGUGUCUCAAAUACCCUACUGACUAAUAUUGCCGACAAAAAACCAACUGACUAAUAAUGUCGUCAGUACCAAAAAAAUAAAGAAAUGAAAUUUAAAAAAAAAAAAGAGCGAGAGAGAAAGUAAAGCUUUGCAGCUAUAAACAUAAUAAAUUUUAUGAAACUAAGCAUUCAUAAUAAUCGUAAAGAUCCACCACAAUAUCAUAAUUCUACCUUGAGAUGCUCAGGAAUCAUGUACAGUUCGUCCUCUGCUCGUUUGUUUUCAUUCUCAGUUUGAUUGGUGGUUUCAAUGUUCUUUCCACGCUUCUUGGCCAACUCUUGCUCGACAUACUUCAACCUGUUAAAGAAUACAAAAUGCACCAUAGACAAUAUUAAUGCCAAGCCUCACAUGACAUGGUAAAAAAUAAUCCCUCAGCGAUAUACAUUGAAAACACUAAGGUUGCACAUGCAUAAAUGGAGAUUGAUAAUCUACAUGAUUAUAACAACCUUGCACAGAACAAUGAUAUCAUAAUCAAUAAGUGUGAAAAUGUGCACCCAUGGACAGACGUCCAACCAAAUAUAGCGAAGGUAGUCAGGAUGGGAAGCAAUUUGGAUGGGGCCUGUGUGCUGGUUCAUGUCACAAUAGCAUCAUGAAACCAUGAUCAACAUCUAAAUGAAUUGAACAUGCAAAUAACAUUCUAAACUCCAAAUUACAUGCAAUAAUAGCACUCCUUUCUCCACCGCUUGAUUAGUUUAUGGGACAGAAAUAGCAUAAAGCAUCAAGCGCAGUUAGCAUCACAACAAAUUUAUCUUACGAGACUAUAAUUUAAUAAACAUGAAAUUAUACAAUCAACUAAAAACCAAUUAAAUGAAGAAAAAAAUAAUAUCAGCAAUGCCAAGAACAAAUGGAUCACAAAAAAACAAGAAUCACAUUAACUAAUGAAUUACUAAUGCCUUGUGUUAGGUAUGGUGAUAGCUAAAUCACCACACCUAUGUUUUAAGGGUAUUUUGGUAAAAAGAAAUUUAAUUUUUCUUGGGGAGCAAGAAAGAAACCCUAGUGAUCGCUGUAAAAAAAUAUCAAGGAGGCCAUAAUACUUACCCUUCUGGGUCACCCCUUUGGGAUCAUGGGAGGAGAUCACCAAGAAAGAGAUAGGUCUCCAAUAGAGAGAGAGAGAGAGAGAGAGAGAGAGAGAGAGAGAGAGUACCNNNNNNNNNNNNNNNNNNNNAGAGAGAGAGAGAUUUCCCCCCUAAAGCAAGGAGGUUUUCCUGGAGUUUUGGAUUGAUACUUUCCACUUCUAGACAGAGCAAAUCUCCCAAUUGCUCUCAAAGUUCUGUUUCUGGCAGCGGUAUUGUAAUAGGAAAGAUGAAGUUGAUAAGCAGUGUUACUAAGGAGAGACGUUAGAAGGGAAGAUCAAAAGGUUUUUGUUGAUGUUUAGAGAGAAGUAUAUCUGUUGUAAACCAAAGUUGUGAUGUUCAUUGUGAUAGUGGAUAUCUACUUGUCAAGGUCGUGGAUGCCGCCCUUAGGGAUGAAAUACAGAAGUCGUGCAUAGCUUUGAUGUGCAUUUUGUAUUUGCUUUAUUUCUUGCACUUUUUUUGUUGUUGUGUUCACAUGUACACUAUAUUGGGUGGGAUCCCAAUACUUGGGCUUCCUUGUUCUCCAAGCGAAGGGUUACCGAGGACCCCACAGCUUGUGAUCACUUAAAUAGUUUACAGUAACUCCAAAUUAUCAUUAAAAAACUCGAAUUGAUACAUCAAGCAAUCAAUAAAACAAAUACAUGAACAAACAAAUGAAGGAACACAUAUUCAUACAUGUUGGGGUCCUCAACUGUGACAGCAGUCUCUUGAGCAAAAGUGUCUUGCAGAACCAACUCCUCCUUCUCACCGUCUGCAUCCGCCUUCUCAGUAGGCUUCGCAAGCACACCAAUUGGUUGUGAAUUAGGAAUCGCAGGGAUACCAUAUUUCCUUUCCCUCUGCUUCUGAAGAAACUUCACUUCUUCUAAUGUCAACCUAACAUACAAUAUAUAAAUAUACAAAGCAAAAAGAAAAACUCUAGUUUCUCAAGAAAAAGCAGCCAACCCAAUGUCAUAAAGAGGAACCCAAUUUGAAACGGGACUAGGUUUCCUCAAAAUUAUCAUGAUAUAGAAAUUCCAGGUGCAGCCAGAACCCUAGAACUUCAAAUGCAUCUAAACCCUAAUUUUAGGAGGAACCAUACAAAUCAACAUUUCAAAUCCAAAUAAAUCCGCAAGAUUCUAAGAUUGAUAUCAUUUCAAUAGCAUACCGGUUUCUCUGAAGCUUAGAAAAUAAAAAGAUACGACGCAGAAAACAGUAGAAACCCUAAAUUAGGGUUUGGAGCAAGGUUACCUCCUUUCUUCUUCGUCCUCUGGCCCACUGUUUUCAUCGUCGCUGCUGAGAUGUCUUUUCCUAAAAUUCUUCAUAAUCAGAAUCCCUAAUAAUAAUACAAAAAGGUGAAACACUAAUCUGAAAAAAAUGAAACUGAAUCGUUGCAAAAGAAGAGGAGGAUGUACACUUGCGUAAGUUUUUCAAAAUAAAGUGGGAAAACGAUAGAAAAGGAGCGGUUAUUUAUAUAUGACUGAAAAUACGCUUCUGAUUUCUGGUUUGCCAAAAGAGCCCCUCCUUUCAAAAUUUUGAAUUUUUUAAUAAAGAAGCGUUGCCUCCAAAAUGUGGAUGCCUCUUUCUACGGUUGAGAAUUUAGUCGGUUCGGAUCUGAAACUCGAAAUUUUGAUCUAUCUGGAUAUAGAUAUUGAUCCAAGAUUUAAAUUCAGAAUGAAAUCUUUAAAAGGAAUCAAUGAAAGGGGAAUUUAUUUGGAAAAGAUGUUGUAAUUUAGGACCAUCUAAAUUUAAAAUCUAAAUCCGAAUAGUAAUUUGAGUAGGAUCUGGGUAUAGGUGGAUCCGAUUUGUAUCCAACCCGAUUUUUUAAAAUAAUAUAUAUGUUAUAAUUUAUAUAUUUAUGAAUUGAUAUAUAUAAUUUAAUUUUAUAAUAUACAAUAUUGGAACCGAUCUAUUUUUUAAGAUUUAAAUUUUAUAAUUCGAUAUAAAAAUAAAUUUUAAGGCUAUCCAAAAGAUUUUCAUAACUGACAUAACAUCUUUCAAAUACUACUUGAAAGUGUGCCUUACCUUGAUUGUUUACCGCCUCAGCUUUAUAUUAACCACACCCCUCUCUCACACACGUGAAUAAUCUUCUUUAGUAUGGCGACGUAUACUAUACUCCCCAAGAAGCAUAAUUUAUAUUCAUUCCCUCAGUAAGAAAACCUACUUGAGAGAAUUUUUUUAAUUUGAAAUUUUGGGAACCACCUAAGAAUCACUAGAUUAUUUUCAGAAAAAUAAUUUUAAAAAUUUGAGUUUUCUAACGCCUAGAUCUCAGCCCCUAAAAAAUCAACGGUCUUUAUUCAAUCUUGAGAGUUUCAAGUAUAUAGAGUGUGCCAGCAGUUGCAAAGAACUUUUUCAAAAAAAGGUAUCAAACCAGGCCACAGGUGCAAAGAAGUUUUUCCAAAAAAAAAAGCAAAAACUAAACCACGUAUUUGUUCUUCCUUCUUUGCUGGUUUAAUGGUGUUCCCUUUUCCUUCUAUUUCUUUCACUUUUUCUCAUCGUCUCGCGCUACUAUGAGUUUUGAGAGAGACACACCAAAUUAUCAGAUUUAACAUCGGAUGGAUUUCAAAUCGUAUGGUUGUAAGCAAUUGUGACUUUCUUGUAUCAAAAAUAAAUGAUUUCAUUAUAUAAAAUCCCUAAAAAAAAUGCCAUAUCCCUUUUUUUUAAAAAGUUAAAAAAUAAAGACAAGAAGCCCAAGCCUCAUCAGGCUUCACCCGAGGUUUUUAAAACUGGACCUAAUAAAUGUAUACAUUUCAAUUAGGGUCUCGGCCAGGCACAGGCAGGCCCAAACCUGGCCCGGCGGCAACCUACCCCUAGUUCCAAUCUGACUUAAGCCAUUUCCAAGUUAAACUGCGUGGUGAAUAGAACUGUCGGAAAACUUAAACCCAUCUCAAGGCCUGAUUCCGAGUCUCCUGGUCCAACUCAAGAUAAUUUCAAAUUAGACCGGGCUAGAGCCUUAAAACAAUUAAAAAACCACGACAAUGUGGCAAUUCCAAUAGGAAAAAGUUUACAUAGAGCCAAAGCUCUAAACAAUCACUUCAAAAAUUUCACUAGAAGAGGUUUUGAUGUUCAAAUGUCUUCAAAUUGAUCAUCUUGACAUCAAGAUGUAUGGACAUGUAAAAAAAAAUAGAUUUCGAAUUUUGGAAAAUCAUCUUGUAAUUCAUUGUUAGACUGUCAAUUUUCAGGAUUUUCAAAUUUUCAUAAAUCUACUCAAUCUAUACUAUUUUUUAAGCUUUAAAUUUUAUAAUUAAAAAUAAAAAAUAUAUUUUAAAGCUAUGACACAAAUUUCCAGCAUUGAAAUCAUAUUUCUCAAUGCUAUUUGAAGGUGCGCUUUACUUUGAUUGUUUAGAACCUCAGCUUUAUACAAACCGCACCCAUUCCAACAAUUUCACUCCAGAUUUUUCUCCAUCCGGAUUCAUCCACCUGCCAAAUCCAAUUCAUCUCAGGCCCAUUCAAAGUCACACCAGCAACUUUGGAAUCCCCAGCGAUCCAAGCCUCUCGCUCAAAAGUUUAAUAAGUACAAAUUAGCAAUGUAUAACUAAAUCAAAACUACAAAAUAGGGAAAAAGUUUAUAUAGAGCCAAGGCUCUAAACAAUCAUAUUUGAGCCCACCUUAAAAAUUACACUAGAAGAGGUUGUUUUGAUGCCCUAAUAUCUUCAAAUUGAUCAUCACAAUAUCAAGAUGCAGACACGAGAAAAAAAUGGAUUUCUUGUUUUGAAAAUAGUGCAUUUUACAACACAUUUUUGGACAGUCAAUUUUCAAGAUUUUCAACUUUUCAUAAAUAUGUCGAUCUAUACUAGUUUUGAAGCCUUAAAUUUUAUAAAUAAAUAUGAAAAUAUAUUUUAAGGCUAUCACAAAGAUUUCCGGUAUUGAAACCACAUUUCUCGAUACUAUUUGAAAGCAGGCUCUAAUUUGAUUGUUUAAAACUAGGCUCUAUACUAACCGCACCCAUAAAAUAGAAGUGUAGUUCCUUUGAUGGAAUCAUCCCUGCCAGAAUUCAGCAGUUUCACAUUAACUUACAUAAAAAGAAAUAUUAAAUCCAAAAACAGAUCCACAGAAGCAAACACGAUCUAAAACCUUUAAAAUCUUUCCAUAGUCUCAGCUUUCUCAGCUUUAAAAAUCCUACAAAAUUCAGUUGGAAAAAAAAAUCAAGGAGCAACUACCGCAAUCCUCCCAGCGACCUGAUCCAAAUCCCUUUGCCCACUCGAAGUGAUCUGCCUUCCACUGUACAUCAAUUGAAACACCAGUUUCAAAACAUAAUUGGACAUAAAACCCAUCUAAGCAGCUCUCGCUCUCUCUAUCUCUCUUUCUCUCACACACACACACAGACUAACUAAUAUCCAAGUCACUAAACACAACCCAAACACCAGUUUCAAGCAUAUUCUUUCGAAUAUAAAGUUCCAAGCAUAUCUUUCAUAGCCACAUUUGAAAACGAUCAUCUUUGAAAAAAUAAAAAAAGGGGGAUACUUUGUUGGUUUUGAGUUUUCCAGCAGUGUGGCAUACGAACUCAGAGAGAGAGUGUAUCAAUUUCAUUGUGAUUUUUUAUCGGACUUUGUAAUGACGAAUGACGCACGCAUCUAACAACUAAGGAUGCUAGUGACCUUGUAUCAAAAGAACGAGUUUAAUUGUAUGCAACCCUUUUGAAUCUGGGUAGUUUAGCAGAUGUGGUGGUUUAGAGCUCGGAAUGUAAAACUAAUGUAUUUUUGAGCAAUCGUAGCCAUCUUAGAGAGAGGGGGAGAUAGAGAGAGAAAAUCAAUUUGACUGUGAUUAUUAGAAUCACAGGAGUGUGCUUCUAAGAUCAACUUGAUUUGAGUAAUUUAUUUUGGGUUAUUCAGCAGUGAUAUUCCAUAUUUGGCCCCCUUUGGUUCCCUGGAAAUGGGUCUCAAGGGAGAUGCCUCUCCUGGAAUUUUUUUUUGAAUCUGUUAACUGUUACGUAUUAAGUAAAGGUGCAAGAGAGUUACAAGAAACAUCUGUAAGCCAAAAAAGGGCCACCAGUGAAGCGGGGGCCCUAUACAAAAACCCACUAGGGGCCCAAAACACCCAAAAAGAUCCCCAAAAAGAUCUAUACAAUUAAUCACAAAAUUAAUAUCUAUUCUCUUACAAUUGACAUCUCCCACAACAUAAGCGUCAACUGUUUGGAUAGCAUAUGGUAAGAGACCUGGAAGAUGCAUGUCCACUCUUUGGACUGCCUGGAACAUCUCCAGGAAAUUAUAUAGUAUUACAAUAAUAUAUAUUGAUAGUAUUAUAAAUCUAUUAUAUUAUACAAAUUAUAUAUAAUUAAUCAUAAAACAUUAUAUACUUAUAAAUAUAUAUGUUAUAAUAUAUAACAAUAUUAAAUAUAUUAUUAUAUAACAUAUAAUUAAUCAUAGUUAUAAUAUAUAAUUAUUAUAAUUAGUAAUGAGCAUAGUUAUAAUAUAUAAUUUAUUAGUCGUGUAUAUUAAUCACUAUAGAUUACCAACCUCCAAAUAAUUGGUUAAGGGUUAGAUGAUGAUUAUUAAUCACUAUAUGUUAAUUAUUAUCAUUAUUGCAGCUCUAGGGUUUGAGGUCCUCUUUGGGCAGACCUCAACCCAACUAUAAGAUAUAACUUACCACAAGUUUUUGGGGCCCAUAGCUAUCUUUCAAUCUCCCGGAAAUGCUGACUCCAUGUAUUAUGGUGGAAUUGACAUUUCCAAAAAAAAAAAAAAAAGGUCUCACAACAUGGGAAUCGGUCUCCACACAAAACUGGAACUCCGUCCCUAGGAGGGCAUCAAAACGGCAUUUAUGGGCCAUUUCCAUGGAAACCAAAGAGACCGUAAUAAUCUCAGGGGUGUGAUUCUUGGAUCAAUUUGAUUUAAGGUAAUUUAAUUUAGCUAGUUCAGCAGUGAUAUUCCAUAAUGGAACUUGGAAUGUAUACAUUGAGGUCUUCUUUGCCAGAUCCAUGAAAAAGAGCAUACCACAGUAGCAAAAGUAUCAACUUGAUUGUAAUUCUAUGGUCUUAAAGGUGUGAUUCUCACGUCAAUUUGACUGAGGUAUCUCCUUUUUUUUUGGGGGCGGUUCAGCAAUGAAAUUCAAACAUGGGAAUAUAAAAAAAUGGGUAUUCUUUCAAGUUCCAUGAAAAACAUCAUACCACCCAGAGCCAUCUUAGAAAGAGAGCAUCAAUUUUUAUGUGAUCCUACGAUCACUGGUGUGCAAUGCAAUGUCCGCAAAAAUCAGAUGAACACGAAAUGUGCCCCAACAAAAGAAAAAACCCAAUAAGUAAAGAAAAGAGAAACUCAAGUACUUACCCUUUGGGAUCAAGGUCAAUAAUCUUCACCUUCUCCAAUUGUUGGAGAAUGUGACGAGCCACAGCUCCACUGCUCUUGCAAAAAUGGGGAGGGCGGCUUCCAUUCCUCUUGCGCCCACCAUAGAUCUUUUGAAAGCCCCCCACGCCGAUACCUUGCCUAAGGUAAAUUUUCCUGGCCAUAGAGGCUACAAACAAGCAAAAUAUAAAAAAUUACAAAGAGAAAAAGGGAUAGAUUUUGCAACCAUACAGUAUUUAACAGAAUGGAUAUGUAGGUUUCAGACCAUGAGUUUUUGACCAUCCAUCCCAAGGACACAGCGAGAGAGAGAGAUCUGGAUAUCUUCACAGAAAUGUCACUCUCCAACUCAAUCUGUUAGUUCUAUGGCCACAUUUCUCUCUGUGGUUUGCAUGAGAAUGUGUGUGUGUGUGCGUGUGUGUGUGUGUGUGAGAGAGAGAGAGAGAGAGAGAGAGACCAAGUUAUUGUCACUAAGCCGUCCGGCGAUUCUUCUUUAAGGAAAAAGUUCCUGUUUCGAAGCAAAGAUGUCACGAAUUUUGUAUCUCCAUAAGAACCCAUUGGUACAGAAACCCAUUUGAGACAGAUAGAAGUGGAAGGGCACCCCGCAGGAGAUUGGGGGGUAAGGGAGGGGGGAGAAGAGGGAAGAAAGGCAUCGUUUUGAAACAUAAAGGAUUGGCGUGUACAAAAAUUAUAGAAAUAAACAGGUGUUUUCCUUGGAAGCCUCCAGGACAAAAGCAAAACAAAAGUAAACUAGACACGUACCAGCCCUGAUGAAGUACCAAUCAGGGUCAUACGGGGCAAGCUCCUUGAAUGUGCCCGUCUUCACAAGGUCAGUCCAUUCGGGAAGCUCAAUCUAAAACACAAGAAUCACCUAGCAUGAUUAAUUAUAAUCUUCAAGACGGAGUGAGUGUGUGUGUGUGAGAGAGAGAGAGAGCAGAUAGUCUCUUGAGGGGGAGAAAGAGUAAUUAUAUAAAUACUCUCUUGAGGGUAUGAGAAAGAGUAGAUUAUAUCUUGCAAAUCCAACAUAAACAGACCUAGUGAAUAACAAUCACAACAUCAAACUCAGUAAUACCAAAAGCAGACAAACUCAGCAAUACCAAAAGCAAAAAACCUUAACUCGUAUCUAGAAUUGGAAGGGAAUAGGCCAACCACAUCAAAGAAUUGUAUGUUAAAGCAUUAAAAAUAGGGGUGGCAACAGGUCCGGUAUGGGUCAAGUUUAGCAGGACCUAGACCCGAAAGAGUGCAUAUGUACCCAGACCCGGAACUGGACCCACCGGGUCCAAAAUAAUCGUCCCCGUAUCCGUACCCGAGAGAGGCUUUUGGACCUGUACCCAACCUCAAUCUUUGCCUCUGCACCUAACCUGGGAAAGGUCUCUCUAUCUCUUUGUCCAUUUGAUUUCAGUAGGAAGAAGAGCACCACCCUCAAUCUUUGCCUCUGUAUUUCUUUCCAUUGCGUAUUUUCUCUCUCUUCCUCUCCUCUCACUUUUCUCCCUCCUUGAAAUUGAAUUCUAGGGAGAGAGAGAGGAUUUGACCCUUUUUUUAGUACUUGGGGAUUUGCGGUUUGGGUUCUUGGUUAUGAAGAGAGAGACAGUGAUAUGCCCAUCUAAUAACCCAUAAAGUGCCCAUCUAAUAUCCCAUCGUUUUGAAGACGCGUUCUGCAAGGGAGUUCAUGGUUUUAUGGUUUUGAAGAAGCAUUCUGCAAUGGAGUUCGUCAAAGGCUUUGUAAACAACAACAACCCAAGACAGUGAUGCUAUCUCUCGUCUCCCCUUUCUCUCUCUACUCCUCUAAACCCUUUCUUUUUUUCUCUCUUCAAACCAAGAACCACUAAUUUUGCUUUUUAGGAUUCCAAUUUCUUCCUGAUUCAUAACUCCAACCCUUCUCAUCUCCAUUCUUCUCCCUCCUCCAAAUUGUCACUUUGUAUAUUCCUCUCUCUCUCUCUUCGAUCCUACACCUUCCUCUAUAUUCCUAUCUCUCUCUCCUUGCACAAAUCCUACCCCUGCCUCUGUAUUCCUCUCUCUCCUCAUUAUUGUCUUGCAUUACUCUCUCUCUCUUCUUGUACGUGCUCAAUUUUCAAUGUUGUUCUCUACUUUUCUCUGCAAGGCUGCCAAGUGCUACACUUUUCUUUGCAAGGCUGCCACGCCUGCUCUGAUAGCUGUUAGCAUAUCAAUGCACUCAUUUAAAUCCUCAUCACUAUCACUAGCCCUAUGUUUAUUGUCCAUAUAGAUGAAAAGAGAAGAGAGAGAAUGAUGGGAUUCUCGACAGUAGUAAGGUAACGGGUCCCGGGUCAAGUAUGGGGCGGGUCCAUAUACAAAAAAUUUUGGAUCUAUUUUGUAGGACCCGGACCCUACCCACGGGUCCAAAUGCUGGACACAUACCCGGACCCGUGUUGGGUAUACCCACUCCGGGUCGGGUCCGGGGCCCAUUGCCACCCCUAAUUAACAAGGAAAGCUUUUUGCUUCGAAAGGAUAAGAAUCUGGUUCUUCCACAAUCAACAGUCAUAUCUCUCCGUCACAAAGUCAUGUUUCUAUAAAGGGUGGUAAGCGAAAUUAACAAUAUCAAAGAACAUUCACUUGCAUUUCAACCAAUCGGCAAAAUUCAUAAUGUCGCCUAACAAUUAAAGCAGCAAAUGUGAUCAGCUGACUUGGUUUUAAUGUCCAGAAAAAGAACGUGUUAUCUACAAACUGAAACUGCUAGACCACCAGGUCCUAGUCAAACCAGAAAGCUCUCCAUUAGGCCUAAGCAUCCCAUAAAAGCAAUAUGACAAAAGACUUCUGAGAUGCAAGUGAUCAAUAAUUGAAGAAGGCCUUGUUUGAUUUAGGGAGGGAAUAUCCAUAGCUUAAUCUCCUACAUCUAACUCCCAGGUAUACAAAUGAAGAAACACAAGAGCUCUAACAAAUCCCCUAUAAAAUGAUGAAGUAUUUUCCCAGGCCCCUAUAGCUCAAAGAAACCCUCGAUAUACCAAUUCCCAAAAAAAAUUUUAUAAGGCCACAGUGGAGAAUCCUCAAGAACCUGGAGCUCAUCUUUUCAAGUCAAGUAUUGCUCUCCUACCUUCCUAAUGAGAAAAGCUCCAGCCACUACACAUUGCGAAAGAGACUAUUCUGAUAACCCUGUUCUAGCCACCUCACCAUGGAACUUAAGCAUCAGUAGAUCUCUUUAUAUCUUAUUCAUAAAUAUUUAAUGCCUAUCUUGCUGUCUUAUGAAACUGAAAUAUAUCUCCUAGGUACUUCUAUAUUUCCCAACCUAAGUAAAAAAGGUAGCCAAAGGACUUCUUUAUAAACUUCAAUUUCUCCUAGGUACUUCUAUCUUUCCCAACCCAAGUAAAAAAAGGUAGCCAAAGGAGUUCUUUAUAAACUUCAAUUUUCUGAACUACAGCGAUACUAGUUUCCCACAAUAACAACUUGGAAAAAACACAAUGUUAAAGUCAUGAGUCCUCCAAAAUUUUAUUUCAUAGACAAGGCAACAAAUAUUGGUCCAGAGAUUUUUAUCACACCACUGCAUCGAGUGCAGAACAACUUCCCACCACCAAAGUACAAGAACAUUAUUAAAGGUUGACCAAUCCCAUUUCUUAACCUCUUUAGCCAUUCUGACUACACUAUGACCACUACACUAACCUAAAAUCAGCUUAUUCUUCCCAUCUACAUCCAUACUGCAAUAUGCACCAGCAAGUCCUUUGUUCAGGAUAAUGAUUAUUUUCAUUAAUUGCUUAAUUUACGCAAAACGAUGUUAUUGUUUGGUUUGUCAUACACAAUUUACAGUGUCACAAUUUUGAUGUCGAAAACAACAUUGUCAGAGAGUAAUCAAUCAAAACUUUAGAAAUGCAAGAUUUCUGUUCUUGUGGUUCCUUAAGGGCUUCUCCAAAAGCAAUAAUUUUUAUCCUGGCCUCACCGAGACCCUAAUCAAACUGCUGCACCCUUCAUUUAUACAAUAAUUUGUCCUAUCCUUCCUAAUAACCAUUUUCAAAUGUAAAAAGCUAAACGGUCAAAAAAACCAUGGAAGAAGCAUGAACUCUGUUGAAUCAUCAAAUCAAAAUCCAUUUGCCUUAAUAACUAAUUUAUAAUCCUAAUAAGAACAAAUUAAUUCAUUGAAAGGACAAUUCAAUGAAAUUUCAAGGAAGCAGAAUAUAAUUACAAUGUGUAAUAAACACCACAUGCACAAAGGAUAUAAGUCUAUUUGAAAAUUGAUGACGCUAGAACCUAGAAGUGGGGAAAGUUACCGAGAAAAUAUUCAAUUGCAUUAUGGAUUAAUCAUGGAAAUUAAGAUUGCAAGUAAGAAACAUGAGAUGUUGCACUGGCAACCUUGUUACAUGCAAAACAAGAAAGGCAGCAAUCUAACUCAAGUAAAUAAGGUCAAAGUGAUGAAAUAAAAUACUGGAUGGCAACAGCUUUAUCUUCAAAUACUAAACAUCAUUAACAAAUCACAUCCUUUAUGUUUUUUGAUAAUGUUGACUGUGUAUUAAGAUUGAACAGAACAAGUCACAUCCUUAAUGUUUGAUCUUUAAUAUGGUUACCAUGACAUAUAGAACAAUAUGGGUCCAAGCUUAGGAAUGCAAACCUAAUGUUGACAAGAAUGUCAUGGUUUCCCAAUGAAAAAUAAUGUCCCAGUCAACAUGGAUGAAACCUAGGACCUAAUGCACCAGAUAAUGCAUGAAUCUACAAUCAAGUGGUACCAAAAAACAACCUCAAGGUUCAAACAUCUAAACAGCUCAGAUAGAGUAACAAAAACCAGGAUUUAUCACAAAUAGGUAAAAUAGAUCUUUAAGGCAAUGUCUGUCCCACGAUUUUACAGUUACCAUCACAUGCUAUGGCGAGAAACAAGGAGAUCAAAAUAUUAAAAAAAAAGUAGCUUUCUUCAAGAGCCCAUGAAUCCAAUCUAAGAGAGAAGCUAGACAAAAAAUGAGCAAAAAGCAACUUCCACAAAUAGGAGUUUUCUUCAAGAGCCCAUAAAUCCAAUCUAAGAGAGAAGCUAGACAAAAAAUGAGCAAAAAGCAACUUCCACAAAUAGGAGUCCAGAGAGCUGAAUAAAUGAAACUGAGAUUCCCAAAGUUUUUCAGUGACUAACAAAAAUUAGGGAUGAAUCAAUAAGCACAAAGAAGAUGAUGGAGAGACAACUAAUAAACCUUUGGAGAGAGAAAGCCAUGAUGAACGGAGAGAAACAAGAACCAUAGUGAAACUGGGGCCAAACCUUUCCAGAUCUCUUGAGAUGGGCAGAGUAAGCCUUUACAAACUCGUGAGGAGAGACAUCCUUCACUGUUCUUCCCACCAUAGCUAGCUCGGAGAUCAAAAGCCUGAGAAAACUGUAAGGGCUUUUAGAGAGAAAUUAGGGUGCGUUUGGUAACUCCAUAGAUAAAUUCUAGGAAUUCUAAUGAUAGACUUGUUAAGUGUUAAUCUAGAAAACAAGUGUCAAUAUUAGAAGCAAUCAAAACAAUGAAGUAUUCUUACUAGUAAGUGUCAAUAUUAGAAGCAAUCAAACAAGAAACCCAAGAAUGUCAGUAAACCUUCAGAUAAUUUACAUAAACAAUCAAUAGCAUUUAGCACAAAAUACUGAAAAUGAGGCCAUAAAUAGAGAAAACAUAAACAGAACAGCAUUAAACCCUGUAGAAAGUAGAAAUAGCAAGAAAAUAGGAAAAUAAAUAUAUAAUUCUUCAUACUCCAGAGAACAUAAAAAUCAGUAAAAAAUAAUGAACUGGGAUCCAAUUUUAAGCAUCGAAUUGAUUAAACACAAAAACCACUAUCAGAAACAAUUUAAUAUCAUUUAGAAUCAAAGAGAAUCUUAAAAAAAAAUGAGUAGUAGUAGUUGAAUACAGUAACAUUUUAUUAAAUAAAAAAGAAACAUAAAGCUUAGACUUAAGAAACAGUGAUAGAAGUCACUGACAAACGGUUAAUGGUGCAGUAUGGAGAAUCAAGCAAUUCAACCAAAACCAUUACAAAUUCCUCCGUGAAAACUAAAGCAAUUCUAUGGAAAAAACUUUCAAAUAAGAACUUGCAGAGAUAACUUUUCAGGAAAAUGCACACCUAUAUUGAGCAAAACAAAAGUUUGGGAACAUUCUUAAAUAGCUUUACAUCCUAGUUCACAGAUUAAUGAUGAGCUUGCAACGAAGAUAUUCAUCAGAAGAAACAAGUUUACAAAAUCCGGAGACCUAGGGUUCUCCACAGAAAAUUACAGCAGCCAGAGAAAAUGAAAGAAAAUAUAAGGGCAUUGCAGUAGGUGUUAUCAUAAAAAGAACAAGGAAAUUCUCCUGAACUAUCUUCCUUUUGAGAAUAGAUAAGUGAAUUUAAUUAUCAAUUAUUGUCUCCUUGGGGUGUUUUGGAAAUCGGUGAACUGUUUCAACUGUUUUCCUUGGUGACAAGCAUAUGUGAUUUUACAACUCAGAGCAGAUUAUAUUUUUCUAUCUGUUCCAGAAUUCAGUCAUAGUCUGCCAAUCAUAAGUUUAAAGUUUCUUAUUCACAGAUUAUAAAAUUGCCAAUGUACUAUAAUAGUCAGAGAAGCAUUUUUGGGAAAGAUUUUGGUCAGUUCUUCAUGCAAAAAUCCGGAAACUGGCAUAUGAAUACUCGGCAGCAUAGAUCUGAUGGCAUUCUACAUUCAUCAAGAAAACCAAAGAAAAGAAAGUAUCCUUUGACCAAUAUGAUUAUAGAAAAGCUCAAUCAACAAAGAAGAGGGUAACUGAAAGGAUGGAAGGGCAAAAAUACAUAAAGAAUGUGUUAAACCCUAGCAAAUAUACAAGCAAAAAGCCAAAAUGAGGGAAUCAACGUGAAUGGGCAGGUCGUCUUUCUUAAAGUACCGCUGCGAAAAUGCCGUGCAAUUUUCCACAGCAUCUGAAACCCAACUAUCAUAGAGAGAGAGAGUGGUGGAUUUAGAGAGAGAGGAGAGAGAGAGUGGUGGAUUUAGAGAGAGAGGAAGAGAGAGGAGAGAGAGAGGGGUAGAGAGAGAGAGAGAGAGAGAGAGAGGAGAGAGGAGAGAGAGAGAGAGAGAGAGAGAGAGAGAGUACCUGAAGCAGCCGCGGAGGAGCGGUGGGGGAAGGUGGGGGAGCGGCAGCGCACGGCGAACAGAGGUGAGUUAGGGUUCAGAGAGAGAGAGUACCUGAAGCAGCCGCGGAGGAGCGGUGGGGGAAGGUGGGGGAGCGGCAGCGCACGGCGAACAGAGGUGAGUUAGGGUUCAGAGGGGUUAUUCCUAUUUAUUUGAUGCCAAAAACUAUUCUACUCCCGCGGGAGUACAAUAUCUAUUUAUUCCUUCGGAUUCAACCCCCACCUAAAAUUAAUUUUAGUACCUCAAAUUUUAAGGAUGUAAGCUCUUCAACUCAUAUAUUAACCUCAAUAAAAAAAAUUAAUUAAUUUUAUUCUUUAUGCACUUAAAAGAAUGAUGUUUCAAAAUUGAAUAAAGACCAUCCAAUUUUUUAAUUGUGAAUCUAAGUGUUAGAAAACUCAAAUUUCAAUUUUUUUAGAAUAAUCAUAUAGUAAUUCUUAAGUGUUCAAUUAAAAAUAUCCUUCCAAUUAGGUCUUCUAACAGAAAGAAUAGAAGUAAACAAUACUCUCAACAAAAAAUAAUAUAUGUGCUCUUGUUUGAUUAUGAUUUUUAGAUAUUUCGGCCAUCUUUUGGAAAUAAUUUUCAUAUGCAUAUUUUUUUGUUAUUUUGGCCCAUCUCUUGGACAUACAUUUCAAGGGGAAUAUUUUUUUUCUGAUUGUUAUUUUAUAAACCGAAAGUGGUAAAUAGUUGUUUUUUUUUAUGAGAUUAACUUUUUGGAAAUUAUUUCCAUUUGAACCAAAGAAAAAAACAAAAAAAGAAAGAAAAAGAAAACGCAGCAGAAUUUUAAUGGUUUACUAUGUGAAAAGUAGAUAGAUAGAUGCUAAAAUGCUAUAUAACAAAAAUUGCAUGAAACUUUUCAAUCAUAGAUAAAGCUUAGAAUAUUGUUGUUAAAAAUAAGAUAUUUUUGAAUUUAUUUAAGGGAAAUUUGUGAAAAUACCCUAGAGGAAUGAAUUAUUUAAUAAUUUACCCAUAUUAUUGAUUUUUAUUUCAAAAUACCUAUUAAAAGAUGCAUGACCAUGGCCCACUUUGAUGGAUUUUAAACAAAACCCAAUGUUACUUUGGACCCGUCCUGUCAAGGCAUCAGUUGAUAAACAAUCGGAUCAGACCAACGAUUGUUGACAAUAAAAUUAGCCAGGGAGUGUACAUGAAAUAGAGAAUUUUGUGGUUCUUACAAAAGAGGAGAGAAAUGAGAGGGACGAUGAAGGAAAUAAUAGCGAUCUCCACUAUUCUCUACCCAAGGAAUCCAUAUAUGCAACUCUUAUCAGCAAUAUGAUGUGAAGAAAUGGUCGGGAUAGCUUCAACUAUACUAUCACAAGUGAGCCUAACGCAUGUCAUUUUCUCAAUGGAGUGUACUUGAGAAAGAUAAAAACUUUAUUUUUGAUAAAUAAAUUGACUAAAAUACUUUUAAAACUUUCAGAGGUGUUUUGAUUAUUUUAUUUAUCAAUAAUUUUUAUAUAUAUUUAUAUGUACGAUCAUAUGAAAGGAUGAACACUCCAAAUUUGAUGUCAAUAUAAUUUGUAGAAAAAAUUUAAAAUAAAUUAAAAUUUAGAUGUGACAUUACAGUUGGGGCCAUCUCAUCCAUCCAUUCAAAUAUGGGGGAGACACAUGGCAUAUAUGAAUUCCCUAUCCCUAUUAGCAUAAAAAGCUUUUCCCUCCAUUAAAAACUAAUGUCCUUUUCCUUUCUUUGGCCUCCACCAAACCUUGUGAGCACCGCGUAAGACUUGGGACAUCUAAGAUUCAUAGGAGAGAUAUAUAGCAAAAUAGUGUAUAUGGCAUUCUUCAUUAGGAGCAUAUUAUAUAUUUACUCCCUCAAGCAAAAGCGCUUUAUAAAAGAGUUCACAAUCCUAACAAUUAGAUGUGAAAUUAAAUAGCUUAAGUUGUGUUAAGAAAUUCAAUAAAUUUUUUUAAUUUUGAAUUUAAUCAAUGACACACUUAUGGCCACCUGAUUUAAAAUAUGAGUAACAAGAGGGAUCAUAACCUCCUUAUAUCAAAAGUAAAUAGUAUUUUUGUAUACAUUUUUAUUUUUUGAUUCAAAAUUUUGGGAUCCACUAAAGUAUCACCAUACCAAUAGUUUUCUCUAGUACAUUUCCCGCGAACUAAAUAUGCCCUUGGGGUGUUUUUAACAUUUAAUUAUUAUUGCAAAUAUUGUUGAGAAGGCAUUUAUACAUGUAAAAUAAAAACAUCUUGAAAACGAUACUUGUCCAAUAAAUACGAUAUUUUGAAAAUUACCCAUCCACAUCAUGACUAACAACAAUAAAUAUGAUAUUUUGAAAAUUACCCAUCCACAGCAUGACAAACAACAAUAAAUAAGAUAUUUUGAAAAUUACCCAUCCACAACAUGACUAACAAAGUGGGCGGUUCACAUCAUUACAUACACAUAUUAUAAUUUGUUUUUCUUUCCCUACCUAUGAAAUAUUGACAGGGUAUUGAUAUCUCUAUUUUACGAAUUAUUAAUCUUAAAAUGCUCUCUUUCUUGAAUUAGGUAUUGAUAUAUCUAUUUUGUGAUAAGAGUUAAAACACAAGUGUUGCUCCGAAGAGGUUAGUCAAGGCUUCUCAUGAUCAAACUUUUACACUGGGUAUGAGAAGUAUUGUCCAGAAGAGGUUAGCCAAGGCUUGUCAUGAUCAAAGUUUUUUAUGAAGUUACUAAAAAUAUAUACUAAGUGAAAGUAAAGGAGAUCAAAGUUACACAAGAGGACACAGCAAUACAUCAUACCAAACACAAGUAGUAGAUAAUUCUAAGUCUCAUCUUCAAUCCAAGAAAGCCAAGCCUGGUGAUACCACAAUAAAGCAUAAUGUAAGCUAAAAAGUUUAUAUAAGGUUGCAAUGUUAUACUAUAGCUCAUCCAAAAUCCAAUAACAAAGAGUACUAUGAUGUUCGAAAACCUUAAAUUGAUCAUUUGGCCUCGAGAUACAUGGAUAUAAACAAAAAUAUGAUUCAAGUCCUAAAUGUGGCACAUCUUAUAAUUGGAACGUUUAUUUUCCUAAUUAUCGAGUGUUAUAAAAGUGCUCGAUUUGCACCAUUUUAAAAUUUUAAAUUUUAUCAUUAGGAUUGAACAUGGAUUUUCGAAUCAUUGCAAGGUUUCUUAUAGCCGUACUACAUCUUCCAGUAAAUUUUUGAGGAGCACCUUAUAUAAUAUAGUGGGGGUACUUUAUAUAAGCCUCACCUGAGUGCAAAUACCCAUACGCAUCAAUUAUAAUAUGUUCACAUAAGGGUGAGAGUGAGACUCGCAAAGAUGAAUAUCACCAGGAAUGUUGUCCACAACAUUUAAAUCACAAAAGAAAAAGAAAAAAUAAAAUAAACACUUACCAAGUUCCACCUACUAAUAAUGAGAUAAAUUAGCACUACGGAUACAAACGACUACCAUGAGGGAGCAAAAAGAAACAAACACUUAGCAACAAACAAGGUAAAGGCCCAAGUCUGGCCAUAUGCACAAUUAAGGAAUGCAUAUCCUUUGUUGUUGAUCCCUCCUCUCCACCAUCAUGGGAUGUAGCGCCAUUUUCAGGAAGGCUUUCUCCCACUCCGUUCUUCUUCUUUAGUAGCCUUUAAUGCCCUCCCGUUAAUCAGUCUCGACUCUUGACUGAUGACGGGAAAGACUAAAUUCAAAACAACAUCAAUGCAGUGCACAUAAAUAGGAGAAAUAUGUCACCAUGACCAGAAAGAAAGGUCACUUGAAGGCUUACCAAGUCCUUGCUUUGGGUUAGAUUUGCCAGAGCAGGUUUCUGGAAAGGCAAAUUCACUGGAACAUUCAUUAGCUUGCAGCGAACAUUGAGAAGCAUUUUCUGAAUACUGACCACAAGCAUAAACAUGAUAAAAUUAUAUAUUUCAGACAGACAAUGAAAUGAAAAUCAAGCACAAUUCACUUUUAUUCAUGGAGAUCGGGAAAAAAGUGAGGUUAUAAUUUUAUAUAUAAUUAUUCAUAGUGAAUCUUCAGCUCUCUGAUGCAUACAACUUUUUGUUUUUGGGCAAAUCGAAUGCAAAUAACUUCACCCACAGUGCCUAAACAUGCAAAAUUAUCGACCAAAUAACCUUCUUUAACACGCAAUAUGUAAGCAUGAUCCAAGGUACACAGCUCCCAUAUGUUUGUCUUUUCUUUUGCUAUGUGAUUCUAUCUUUUUCUCAAAAUAGCCUACAAGAAUAUGGAUAUCAAUUAUGUGCUUUAUCAAAAAUAAUAUAUAGAUAUUCUUACAACUACUCAGAAAAAAAAGAAAGAGAAAUUAUAGAAUAUACCAAUUAACAUAAAACCAAAUAGAACAUAGUAUUCAACCUAAUUAAUCUAGUUUCUUUCAAUUAUAGAUAAAAUCAAAUAACAUAAAGCUUUCUCAACACUGCUCACCAGUGCCAUUGGCCCCUAUAGUCUGAGCAAAGUCAUCACCAACUCGUAUCUAAUAACCACAUGAGGGAAUUCUAAUAACCACAUGAGGGAAUUCUUUCACGUGCGAAACAAACAUGCAUAUCAAAUUGCUAGGGCUGAUCAAUCUCUUACGCAAUUAUCAUAAGGCAAUUCUUUUUAUACAUUUGGGGCUCAGAAAUGCAUGCAUGCAUGCCAGUUGCUUCAAAAUAUAAUGUUGACAUUGAAAAUGCCAGCAGAAAAUGGACCUCUAACAGAAAUUAUGAGCAUAAAUUCGGGAACAAUAUUCCGUGUUAGACAAUUCAAGACCCUUAGCAUCUGAUCAUAGCUACCAACUGCUAGAAACUGGCCACAUGAGAUCAAGCAACAGUUUUUAACAUCCAAACCACUUCCGCAGGCUUGAUACUUGAAAAGGCACCUUCCAUCUGGGGAGUAAAUAAGGAUCUGUAACAAAAACCAGGAAAAGCCCACAUUCUCAUCCUGUAAAGGAAUGUCGGAAUCAAUCUACGUCAGAAUGUUUCUCGUACAACAUAUGAUGGACAUGAGGAACAAGAAAUAAAAAAUCUUGUGGUAUUGCCCCAUUUUGUGGGCAACUACGAAGGAUUUUGACAAAGGACCUAAAUAUAAGCAAAAACAAAAUACAACCCUCAUAAACUACUUCUUGCUUGUCCAAAAAAGAAAAUAAUUUGACCAGGUCCAAUGGGAUAAAAGGCUGUGCUUCAUGCUUCAAUGCCUUGAAAUUUUUUUCCAAAAAAGAAAGCGCUGCAAUGAUAAACUGCAAAUGCACCAACUUACAUCCACCUAAUUGUCAAAAAUUAAGAUCAAUCUAUUAAAUGCUUAAAAACUGUUAGAGAGUAAUAAUGAAUUGCCAACUCAUCAACCAAGAAUGGACAACAUGUACAUGAUAGCAUUAUCACUGAUCCAACACUUAGCACCACAUAUAGCAUACUCGCUUUAAAUUACAAUUUUCCUAAAGGAUGAGAAUCACAUUAAAUUGUAGUUCGAUGCAUAGUCAAUUUACUUUCUAAAGAUGCGACUAACAUCCAAGGACAAGCUCAAUUUCGAGGAUAUUUCGCCAAUUCUAUCCUUGACUAUACACACCACUUCUUGAUAAUACUAGUCGUGUUCUUUUUUCCAAGGAAUACAAUUGUAUCUACUCAUAACAAACUUGCAUGACCAAAAAUAUGAUCAUCAUCAUCGAAGCCUUGUCCUAACUAAUUGGGGUCAGCUAAGAGCCAUACUCCACUUGAAUAUAUUCCGGAUUCAUGAGAAGUUUUCGCAAAGUUUUACGUUGGCUGACUACUUAAUACAACCCACCACUUUUGCCCGGGCUUGGGACGGGUUAAGGAAAAGUUUACGGUCCUCACUCUUCUUAGACCAAUGGCCAAAAAUAUGAUGAUAAAAAUAUUUUACUUUGUACUCGAGAGAACAGUCCCAAGUAACUAUCGCACUAUCAUCUGGAAUAAUAUAACUCCACUAAGUUGAGCACCCAAUAUGAUGAUAAAAAUAUUUUACUGUGUACUCGAGAGAACAGUCCCAAAUAACUAUCGCACUAUCAUCUGGAAUAAUAUAACUCCAUUAAAGUUUAUGCAAAACUCAAAAGACCAAAUCCAAUAAAAGUUACACUUCCACAGCAUGAAAAAGUUUCAAGCACUUGUCCAAACAAAAGAAUACAAACAAUUUUAUCGAUAAAAACGUUGCAAAGGUCUUGCUCCACUAGGUCCCACGUUUAAUCACGGUCCAUCCCAUAGAAUGGAUGCCCAAUGAACUACAAGUAUACCACAUACCAUAGGAUUAUAUUAUGAUUGCUGACCUUUUAUCCUAAAACUGUGAUAAUAAAGGGUAUACCCACAAGAUGGGGCAGCAUCCAUGAUGUGAAAAGCAAAUAGAAUUGGGGCCUCAUCUUAAUGAAACAUCAGCUACAACUACAAGAUGAUCAAUAUGAUAUGCAGGCCGCAAAUUUGGUGUGAUCACUAAUGGUGUAUGUGCUACAAUUAUGAUUUGCUCAUGUUAGAAGACGGGCUGCAACAAUGGAGUAAUCACCAUGGUGGAAAAUGCAGCAACUAAACUAAUAUAACCAUUAAAAAAUGAGCUCCAACUAAGUGUGAUUACUCAUUGAGAUCAAAUGACUAUGAUCACGCCUAUCAUGGUCAUGUAUGGGCUGCAUCAUAUGCAUGAUCAUCAAGGUAUAUGGGCUACAUCAUAAGCACGAUCAUCAAGGUAACAUAGCUACUGCAUGGGCAUAAAAAUCUAGGGAAAAUGGUGUGCGGGUGGCCAUCAUGGCAGCAUGAUGUGGGUGUCGCCAUCAUGGCAGCAUGAUGUGGGUGUCGCCAUCAUGGCAUCAUGGCAUGUCAAGGGAUGAUCAUGUGGGAUAGGGUAUGGUUGCAAUGGCUAGGGUAUGCCCUCAUGAUGUGUAGAUGCAUAAGAUGGUAAUAACAAACCCGACAGCAUUAUAUAUAUUAACAGUAUAUAGAAGUAUAUAUAGUGGUCAUGCUUGAUGACAACUACAAAUAGAAUCACAUAUGGGACUUAUCCCAUAGGAUUAAAUGACUAGGUUCACCUUGAGCCAACUUGUGAUUAAGGCCAAAAUUAGUAUGCUCAAUGUCCUUAAGAGAGGGAGCACUACUUUCUAGACAUUAGCAUAAUAUACUUUGAUAAAACUCACACUAUAGGUGACAACAUAGAUGGGCACUAAUCCAAACCAGGCAUUAUGUAGGUUGCAAACUAAAUUCAAGUUGAGUCAAGGUGUUUUAAUGAUAGGAAAAAUGAUGGGGGACAAUCUUAUCUUAAGCUUGAUGGAUAUGAAAUCAAAAUUAACAAAUAGCAAACCAUGAAAAUUGAACAACUCAGGCCCCUAUGAGUAUCAAACUAGAACAAUUUCAUAGGUGAUUUCUGCAUACAAAUUUCAAAGAAUUCAAUCAAGAAUAGGCCCUGUUAUCGACAAGACCUCAGAAACCAGAGCUUUUGAAGAUCAAAAACUGUUUUUUUGAGUAAACUCCAAAUUCUUAGAACAAUUAUUCCUGGGAGAUAGGCAGGUUUUCAAAUAAAUCACGCUUGUUAAUGAAAAUGAUUGGUUGUGUGCUACAAGAAAUUGAUCUAAUAUGGAAUCAGAAUUUGAUACGCAUAUGUUUGGAUCUGUGAGAAACCAGAGCAGUUGAAGUUCCCUUGGACUGCAGUAAAUGUACCAUCCAAUCUCAUGCGUAAACCAACAUUUUUUUUUUUGAUGAAGUUAACCUGAGUAAACCAAAAAUUUGAUACGCAUAUGCUUGGAUCUGUGAGAUUCCCAAAAUCAAGACAAUGCAUAAACUGAUGAAAAUGAACAAAAUCAGUACCUCAUUAACAGAUAGAGAUCAGUACCUUGUUAACAGAUAGAGAGACAGAAAGUAUUCAGAAUAAAUCCACAACUAGUUUUGGACCGUAUCAUCCAACAUUAAGAGUAACCUACGAAUAUGAUAUACAAAAAACUUGGAUCCAUGAGAACUUGCACAUGAAAACAAUGCAUAGGCUGAUGAAAAUGAACAAAUUCAGUCAACCAUAAUCACAUAGAGAGACUCACCACAAUAUAACAAUAUACUAAAUAACUCAUAAGAAAGCCCUAAAUUACAUGAAUCAAUAAUUGCCCAAACUCAAAGCAAACAAUUAAAAACCAACAGUCUUUGGCUAAGACUACCAUGAUCACCCGCUGUCCAUUUAAUAAUAGCAGAUAUCAACUAACACCAAUCAACCAACAAGGCAUAAAAUCAACGCCCUAAACCACCAAAAACCAGAUAUCCCUCACUGUGAAAAACUCAACCAUUUAGGAACAUAAAGAUAAAAACCUAAACCACCAAAAACCCAGAAAUAGUGAAUCUUGAAAAACCCUCUAAUUGAUCAUCUCAAGAUCGAGAUGUAUGAAUAUAAAAAAAAAAAAGAUUUUGAGACCCAGAAAUAGUGCAUCUUGCAACACAUUAUCUAGACCGUCUAUUUUCAAGAUUUUCGUAUGUUUAUAGAUCUACUUGAUUUUAACCAAUUUUGGGGUUUAAAAUUUUAUAACUAGAUAUGAAAAUAGAUUUUCAGAUAAUCCUAAGAAAUAUUUACACCAAAAUUACAUGUUAUAAUAAAAUUUGGUGGUGCACCUUAAUUGGACUGUUUAAGGUUGUAACCUUAUAGAGAGAGAGAGAGAGAGAGAGAGUUACCCUGAUGUACCCACGUGUAGAGAAAGAGCAAUGGCCAGGAACUAGUACUCUGUGCAAGAAUGAAAGAGCAGAGGUGAGAGAUGGCUGCUCUAGGCGGCACAGUGGAGCGAGACAUAUGGUCGAGAGAGUGCUGCUGCCACUAUGGGUGAAGAGAGAGAGAGGGCUACUGCAAUUAUGGACAGAGAAAGAAAGAGAGAGAGAGAGAGAGAGAGAGAGAAGNNNNNNNNNNNNNNNNNNNNNNNNNNNNNNNNNNNNNNNNNNNNNNNNNNNNNNNNNNNNNNNNNNNNNNNNNNNNNNNNNNNNNNNNNNNNNNNNNNNNNNNNNNNNNNNNNNNNNNNNNNNNNNNNNNNNNNNNNNNNNNNNNNNNNNNNNNNNNNNNNNNNNNNNNNNNNNNNNNNNNNNNNNNNNNNNNNNNNNNNNNNNNNNNNNNNNNNNNNNNNNNNNNNNNNNNNNNNNNNNNNNNNNNNNNNNNNNNNNNNNNNNNNNNNNNNNNNNNNNNNNNNNNNNNNNNNNNNNNNNNNNNNNNNNNNNNNNNNNNNNNNNNNNNNNNNNNNNNNNNNNNNNNNNNNNNNNNNNNNNNNNNNNNNNNNNNNNNNNNNNNNNNNNNNNNNNAGAGAAGAGAGAGAAGAGAGAGAGAGAGAGAGAGAGAGAGAGAGGAAAAGACAAAAAAAGAGAUGGCAGAUGUAGUACGGGUGAGAGAGAGUGGAAAGCAUGCAGAGGAGAAGAGAGGGGGCUAGGGCUUGAGAAUUCCAACAACAAAAGCCGAAGCAGCUACUUUCUAGUGGAAGACUAAGGAUUUGUCACUUCUUUCUCUCAACAGGUGAUACUUUAGCUUCUUAACCAAGAUAAAAUUUUCAAGGAUAAACUGUGAAGUAUAUGGGAGAAGAAAACUAUUUGGCCAUUUUUCUAACAUAGCCCAUAGAUAUGCUUGAAAUUAGUGUUACACGAACCACUUUUAUUCUAAACGAAGUGAGAAAAAGCUAAAUUACUUUGGAUUAUAAUCUUGGAAAUAAGCCACAUUUCAUGAGAGAGAGAAAGAUAUAUCAUCUUUUUUCUCCUUCAUGAUAAUUGAGAUGACUUUGUAUUCACUUUAAUCAAUGAAGCAUCAAAUUACUACUCACUAACAGCAAAAAAAGAGGAAGAAAAUCUCUCUUUCUCUUUCUCUCUCUCUCUCUCAAAAGUUCAAAAAAGAUUCCUAUGAAAGUUACAAAAAGGUAUAUGAUUUUUAUUCAAAGAAUGCUUCAUUCCUGAGCAGGUGUACAAUGGCAUAACUCACCCAAUCAUAAAUUAUAUCAUGAAAACAAUUUAUACAUACCCAUUAUAACCAAAGGCCUUCAUAGGACGAUCCAAUGCGAGAGAUUAACACUGCAUCACACACAGAAUUCUGAAACCACCCCACUUACACAUAUUUCACAUUCCAAUAAGAAUACAUUCAUCGCCACCAAAAUUACAGUGCUUCACAGGCCAUGCCCAUAGCCUAUGCCAAUUGAACCUGGCACAUUAUCCAGGCACUGCAAUGCAAAUCUCUUAACCCGUUUUUGACCCUCCUUCUGUUACAAGGAAAAUUCUUAAGAGUUAUCUGGUAACUACACCCACGAACACAGAGAAGUCAUUCCUAAUAAAACUCAAAUACCAAAUGAAUUGGGGCCAAAGUAGCUCAAUGUGACUGAUAAUCUAAGUGUCUCUCAAAGUUAUAACAGCAUGAGGGGCACAUGUUAGCAUCACUAAUGAUCAAUAUGAUGAUUGUGUGUGUGUGUCUGUAGAUGUGCAUUUUUGUGCUUGUGUGUGUGUGUGUGUGUGUGUGUGUGUGUGUGUGUGUGUGUGUGUGUGUGAGAGAGAGAGAGAGAGAAAUUACCUCCAGUUAAUUGCAUCUCUACCUUGAACCACCUCCCACCCUCUCACAAGGACUUUGUUGCAUGUUGCGACUUGGCAGCCUCUCUCAACACGGCCCCAACUAUUGCUGCUUGCUCAAGGUUCUCGGUCCUCUGCAAAGCCUCCAAAAGAACAACACAACUUUUCACAUUCACACUACAACCCCUCAUUCUUGUCUCCUCGAAAAUCCUAUAUGCAUCCAAUGCUUUAUCAGCAUUGCUCAACCCUGAUAUCAAUGCAUUAUAACUGGCAGAAUCAGGUACUCCUCCCUUCUCUUUAAACUUCUGAAACAACCCAUUUGCCUCCACAACAUUUCCUGCUUUAGCAAGCCCCGAAAUCAUUGUAGUGUAAGUGAUCACACUCGGGCUCAAACCUUGCUUUUGCAUCUCUUGCCAAAACACAAAUGCCUUAUUGAAUUUUCUUGCUCUACAAAGGCCAUUGAUUAGGAUGCUAUAGGUCACAACAUUUGGCGUACACUUCAAGUCCUUCAUGGAGUUAAAGCAAACCAAUGCCUCAUUUAUCUCAUCAGCCUUCAUCAAAGCAUCUAACAAACAAUUCCAUGUGUACACAUUAGGGGUUAGACCCUUUUGCAUCAUCUCCUCCAUUAUUAAAUAAGCCUCAUCUAUACGGCCCACUUUCCCAAACCCAUCUAUUAAGCUACUAUAAAUAAUAACGUUGAGUUGUAUUCCCUUUGCUUUGGCCUCUUCAAAGAGCAUGUAGGCCUCAUCUAAUCUAUCAAUUUUGGCUAAUCCAUCAAUAACUGAGCCAUAGGUAACCACAGUGGGUGGAUACCCCUUAGUUUUCAUCUCCUCUAGAAGCUGAUAGGCCUUAUUCACCUUACCUGAUUUGCAGAACCCAUCAAUCACUGUGUUAUAUGCUAAGGUAUCAAGCACGCACCCUUGUUUUUUCAUGGCAUAGAACAAGUGAUAGGUCUCUUUUGCAAAGCCAGCCUUUAUCAAGCCAUGAACGAGGAUGGAGUAGCUUUGAACAUCAGGAACAAGUGCUUGGGCCUUAAUUUCCUCAAAUAGAGCUCGCCCUUUUUCAACUUCCCCCAUCUUGAAAACACAAUCCAUGUAGGUGUUCAUUAAGGUUAGGUCAGGAUUGCAACCCCUUCUAGUCAUUUCUUUGAAGACUUUGUGUCCAUCUUCCUUUCUUCCCCAUUUAAAAAAGUUACGAAUUAGUGACGUAUAAACCACAGCAUUUGGCCCCUCACCCAAAUCUAACAUUCUUUCAUACAGACUAUAUGCCUCAUCGAGCUUACCCUCUCGGCCCAAACCAUCGAUCAAAGAGCAAAAGGUCACCCUGUCAGGCUUGCACCCCUUUUUCUCCAUGCUUUCAAAUAUCUGACAUGCCUCAUUAAGCCUCUGAGCCUUGCAUAGCCUAUCGAUCAUUAUGUUUACAGUUUGCACAUUUGGGAACAAGCCCAAAGUUUCCAUGGAAUCUCUAAGAUCAUAUGUCAUUUCCAACCUGCCUGAUCGACAUAGCAUGUCAAUAAGGAUGUUAUAUGUUGUGAGAUUGGGCUCAGCAUCUUUCUUCAUCUCCUCAAAUAGCUUGCAAGCCUCAUCCACUCUCCCUUUCUUUCUAAGGCAAGUGAGGAUUGAAUUGUAUGUGAUAACACUCGGAAUGCACCCUUUCUCUCUCAACUUCUCGAGCAACUUGUAAACCUCAUCAAAUUUCCCAGCGGAACCAUAACCCAUGAUCAUGGUGUUGUAUGCAUAUGCACAUGGGACAUGGCGGCCAUGGUCCAUUUGCUCAAAUAACUCCACAGCUUCAUCCAAUCUGUUUACUUUGCAAAGAACCCCAAUCAUGGUUGUGUAUGUGACGUCAUCAGGUUUAAGACCUUGUGCCUUCAUUUCAUGGAAGAAUUUCCAAGCCAUAUCAACCUUACCCACCUUGCCAAAACAAUCUAUGCACACAUUAUACAAGACUAAAUCAGCAUCAAUGGAGUUGCUCUUCAUUUCUUCCAACAGAGAGAGAGCAGCAUCAAGCCUUCCAUCCUUUGCAAAUAUACGAACGAGAGUAGUGAAAAGCUGGACGCUCACUUCAUAGCCUAUUUCUUGCAUUUGGUGAAACAUGGUCAGGGCCAUGUUGGGCUCGUGGGCAUCAGCUAGUGCGCCAAUUAGAGUUGUGUAUGCUGAAAAUGCAGGCCGAAACUUGAGCUUGCGCAUGGUUUGGAUCAAAUCAAAGGCUUUUGUGAGCUUCUUGGACUUGAUAAGACUUGUGACUAAUGCUAUACAAGCUGUAUUCGAGGGACCAUAGCCAGCAAGGCUCAUUUCCUCAAGAACCUGGUCCAAGUUAUCAUGCUUGUUACCACUAGCCAUGAUCAUGAGAAGGGUGUUGUAUGCUUCUUGACUGUGGACAGUUCCAGCACUUUUCUCCACCCAUCGGAAGUAGGUUAAAGCCAGGCCUGGGUCCUUUUGCAUCCUUAACACACCAACCAUGCAUUGGGUUUGGGAUUUGUGAUCAAAACUAGAGAGAGAAGCUUCCAGAUCGGGUCCCCAUUUACCACUUUCAAGAAUUCGGCACACAUCAUUUACAAUGGGUUUCAAGGAGUCCUUAUCUGUUUGUUCAGUGUAGCUCCUGCCCUUUUCUAUUGAAUCGAAGCCUCCACUUGAUGAUGAUGUGAAUCCCCUGGAUGAGGAGUAAAGGCUCCGCAAGUUGUGAUUUGAUGAAAAUACCAAGCCUGCAUUGCAAAACAGAGUCUCAUUUAGCAAGUUAACAGUAUCAUGGGAAACCAUAUGAACAAAGUAGCAGAUUCCGAUUGUAUGAAAAACAAAUAUAUGAGAAUAGAUAUUUAUAGAAAUCUCAAGCUCUGAUCCAUAUGUUACAAGAAUGAGAAGAGUGACAGGAACUCUUGGCUGAAUUAUAAUCCACGUGAACCAAUUCAUCAGAAAAGUAGUCCACCAUUCAAGUAGAUGCCGAUCCUACGCCAUCAAAUUAUUUACUAAAGGUGCCAUAAAGGCAUAAACUACUGUGAAAGAGGAUAUAGGAUAUGAUCCAAAUGGUAUAAUUUUUAAUUUUAUUCGUACAUGUCAUAUUUAUGGAAAGCUAUAUUUGUGCUCUAUCUUUACAGGAACUAGAUUUGUAAGGCUUUUACUCAAUAAAUGACCCCAACAAAGAUGUACCAGCAAUGAACAAAAGCACACAUACACACACGCGUGUGUGCAUUUGGACACACACACGCACACAUGCUACGCAUGCAGGCACGCAAACACACGCACACACACGCGUGCAUGCACACACACACACACAAAGACAGCUGCAAUUUGGGUAAUUCACAAACACAAAGGCAGCGACCAUAAAUGCAGAAGUGAUUCAACUUUGAAUUUUCAAAUUCAAAAGAAAAAAUGUGAAUAUUUAGUGAAUUCUGCCAAAUCCAUUGAAAACUUUAAUGAAAUAGUAAGUGAGUGGUGAAGUUGAGGUAAGCACAUAGUUGUUGGAGACGGGAGUGGGAUCAGUUCGGGAAUUGCCGAAACAACCUAUUGCGGAAGUUCCUAGGUUUGGGAUCGGCGUCCGUACAAUGAACAAGAGAGGGAACGAGAUUCUUAGGUUUAUGGGAGCGAGAUCCCAUAUCAAUGGGUUCGAGGUUUUCACUGGCAAGAGCUCCCCUACAUAUUAAACGAGGUUGUCAAGUAGAGCUAGUACAGGUUCCCUUGGUUAAGGGAUCGAGGUUUACGUUUGUCAUAUAACGGGGUUGCUUUUGUUCUAACAUCGAGAUUCUUCAAAUACAAGAAUCAAGGUCCUCAGUUGAUUGGCCCCAAGGUCGCAACUGCCAUUUACGAGGGCCCCUCUAUUGGGCACUUUUCCAAUAUGUCAUCCUCUAGUUAAAUAAAUCCAUAGUGCCCUAUGUAUAGACAUCACAUGCUUACGUGGUACUUGAUAAAUAUUAAAUACUUUUAGGCACUAUACUAUAUAGUCCAUGGUCCAUAGCCAAAAUCUAAUAUGUAUGACAUCCUAUGUUUAAAUAAUUUCAUAGAAUCAUAAGUUUACUAUUAGUUUGUAAUCCAUUCUCCAAAGUCCAAUAUGUAUGCUAUCCUCUAGUUAAAUAAAUCUAUAGUGCCCGAUUUCUAUACAUCACAUGCUACUUGAUAAAUGCUAAAUACUACUAAACACUUUACUGUAUAUGUCCAUAGUCCAUGCUCCAAAAUCCAAUAUGACAACCUCUAUUUAAAUAAAUCCAUAGUGCCCUAUUUCUAGGCAUACAUGCUAUUUGACGCAUACAUGCUACUUGAUGAAAUAUUAAAUACUUUUAGGCACAUUACUAUAUUGUCUAUGGUCCAUAGUCCAAAAUGUAAUAUGUAUGACAUCCUAUGUUUAAAUAAGUGCAUCGAACCAAAUUUUUAUGCAACACAUGCCUAUAUGCUUGAUAAAUCUAAAGAGCAUGGAUUAUUUUGCUACUUAGUCCGUGGUCCUUAGUCCAAAAUCUAAUGUGUAUGACAUACCCUAUUUAAUUAAAUGCAUAUUACCAAAAUUUGAUACAUCAGGUGCCCAUAUACUACUUGAUAAAUGCUAAAAGUACAGAUCACUCUAUUAGAUAGUCCAUAGUAUACUUAUGUACUCCAUUCUUCUUAUAUAUACUCCAAAUCCCAUUAGAGGUAUAACUUUAAUAACAUAGUCCCUCGGACCACCAAGAUAUUCCUUACAAGAUAUUCCUUACAUAUAAAUCCAAAAAAUAAUCUACAAGUACACAAAUUGGAUUUUUCUAUUAUUUUAAUCAACUACAUACUUAGAUCACCAACACAUAGCCCCCCACUUUCCCUCUUCCCUGCCCAAUUCCCCCUUCCUCGAUAUUAACCCUUGGACCCAAAACCAGCCCACACGGCUCCUUCGCCAUUAGCUUGUGGUGAUCAUUCUGGUGAAUUUGGUCUCUCCCCCCAACUCUCUCACGCUACAAUCUCCACUCUCCCGUGCUACAGGUAUGUGCGCUUGUGUUCUUUCUCUGUGUAUUUUUGUCUCUUUUGUGUGCAUAAGAGAGAGAGAGAGAGAUAGUUGAGUGUGUGUGUGCAGUAGAGAGAGAGAGAGUUGAGUGUGCGCUCGUGCUCUUUCCCUGUGUAUUUCUGUGACUCGUGUGUCCAUAACCAGAGAGAGAGUUGAGUGUGUGUAUACAUAAGAGAGAGAGUGUUGAGUGUACAUUUGUGCUAUUUCCCUAUGUAUUUUUUUUACUCUUGUGUGUGCAUAAGAAAGAGAGGGAAUUGAGUGUGUGUGUGUGCAUAAGAGAGAGAGAGAGAGAGUUCAGGGUGCACUAGUGCUCUUACCCUGUGUAUUUCUGUAACUCUUGUGUGUGUAUAAGAAAGAGAGAGAGAUGAGUGUGUGUGUGUGCAGUAGAGAGAGAGAUGAGUGCGUGUGUGUGCAGUAGAGAGAGAGAGUUGAGUGUGCGCUAGUGCUUUUUCCCUAUGUAUUUCUGUGACUCUUGUGUGUGCAUAAGAUAGAGAGAGAGUUGAGUGUGUGUGUGCAAUAGAGUGAGAGCGAGGUGUGGGUGCGUGCGCAGUAGAGAGAGAGCCCACAAACAUGGAACCCAAUAUUUUAAUGUACCACAACCUUAGACCAUAGUUGAUGGGAGCGGGGAUCUAUUUUCAAAUGGAAAUGGAUUCAUCUGUUUUUUAAAGUAGAUUCCACGUAUAUGGAAUCCAAUAUUAUACUGUACCAAAACCUUGGACCAUGGUUAAUGGGAGCGGGGAUCUAUUUCGAAAUUGUACUGGAAUCCACUAAUGGUUUGAUGUGAUCCCCUUUAUUUGGGAGCGAGAUCCCAAAAUUGAAAAAUUGGGAUCCCUACGAGAUCCCUAGGAGGGACCGUGGGAUUGAGGUUCCGGAGCGGGAACGCCACCCUACCCCCACGGUUCUCUUAACUAUGGGUAAGCAAGAUAGAAACUCUUCCACAUGAUCCAAUUUGCCCCCUCGACUUUCCCUUCAGCCCCUUUUAGAGUUAGACAUGCAUCUCUUGCAGUUUCAUGAUGAGCUUUUCCAGGGUGAGCAUGAAUCAGUCCACUCCAUAGAAGAAGGAAAUUCAUGUUCCUCGAUGUUAAGUAUACACAACUCUCCCAAGAUUAUCUCGACCAUGAAUUUAUGAACCAUGGUAGGAUCAUCAAUUGUAAGCAUGGAAUUAACUAUGGGGUUGAUGCACCUUUCAAUUUCUGAAUGUUUAAGAUCAUAUGCAAUAGAAGAGAAUAACAGUUGGUCGAUGAUAGCAUAUCAUAUGUUGUAUAGCUUGGUCUAUAGGGAUUUUUGGGGUCUUCUAUCGACAAUCAAAAUUAACUCAGUGUUUUUAAGUCAAUAACUUGACCGAGUUCAACCAUGUACAGCCCAAGAAAAUACAAAAGGUCAAAGAAAAAAAGUAAAAAAGUUUCAAAAAAGGGUUAAAAAUCAGAAAAAUAAAUAAACUAGCUAAUAGAAAUCAUUAGAAGACUAAAUAAGAUGACAAAAUAUAUUAAAGAUUUGAUUGUUAAAAAAAUAAAGUUCCCAUAUGAAUCUUAAAAACUAUUGAAAUCAUCUAAAAACUGAAUUCCAAGUAAUAUAAUGGUGUUUCCUAAAUUUUUUGCAUUUUUUAGUUUUAUGCUUCUUGAAGGAUUUCUCAAGCUGCAUGAGCUCGCCCUUACUCGGACUGGGCUAUAGGCCGAGGUGGACUUACUCGGACUCCUCCUAAAACUGUUACCUAAAUUCAGUGAUAGUAAAUCCUUUAAGUGGUUGCACUGAGCAAAGAGAUUAACAUCCUUACAAAAAAUAGUGUAUCCCCAAUUUCUAGCCUCAACCAGGUAUAUGCUACUGCUAUACUAGCACUGCAAAGCAGAAUGACCACAUGAACAAACAAAUUGAUUUUUUGCGAAAAAUGAAAUUUCAGAAAAUAAUUGGUUGGAGACAUAUUUGAGCAAUUCAGGAUUAGAUAACAAACAAUAAAUCGAAAAUGUGUGGAUUAUUAACCCCAACAAAAUAAAUUUAUUGCUGAAUGAGUACAAAAAUUAAUCUUUCAAAAAAUAUUAAUUUUUCUUCAAUUAAUCAAUAACCCAUAAGUUACAACACUUAUUUACUCCUUAAUAGUAAAAAUGUCACUGUGAAUCAACUCUAACCAUAAUUCCUCAAAAUCCAAGCAAGCAGGAGAUAAACACAUUCAAACAUAACACAUUGGGGAUAGAGUAAGAAAUUGCAUUUAAGAGAAGGGAUUUCAGGGUUGAGAAAAUUUAUCGGUGUCGAGAGAGAUAAAGGGUUAGUAGUUCGAGAAAUUAUCAUUGUAGAGAGAGAAAGGGUCAGUGGGUUGAGAAGCUCACCUCUGCACAGAAAGCGUUCCAUCUUUCUUUGAUACCAAGGGCUUCAAAGAUCAUUUAGCCCUUCUACGUUCCCCUCUCGUAUUCUUCUUCAGUGGAAUUCCCAUUCUACGCUUCUGAAUCUUCAGGCCCUGGUUUUCAGGGUGGUCCCUCUACCUCUUUUUCUCUCCCCUGUCCAUAGUUAGCAAAUCGUCGUUUCAAAAAAUCGCCGUUUUUAUGGGAACACUUUUGAACGGCGACUUUUUUGAAAAGGUUGGCAAAAAAAAAAUCGCGUAGUUUUCGUAAAAACCUUUAGGACGCGAUUGACCCUAUCAAAGGUUUUACUUGGGGGUCGCAACCGACCCGGACCUGACCCAUGCCCACAAGGUACACCCGACACCGGAUAUGGGUCCAAGUUUUGGACCCGUAGGUAGGGUCUGGGUCCAAUAAAAUAUAUCUGAAUAGUCUUGGAUCUGGGUUCAGGUACGGUCCUACUAUACCCGACCAGGUGGGUACGCAAACCCAAAUUUUUAGUUUAUCCAAAUGUAAAGCUCCAACUCUAAAAUCGUUUCAAUACUUUUCGUCUUCCUCUAGUUCCGCAAAUAACUGGAUCUUGAAUGUCUCUCUCUAAUAGCCUACCCCUCAAAAAUUAGUUAUAUAUUGUUCACCAUUGUAGGCUACAAAAGAAAAGCUCACGGUAAAGAUGGCAAUGGACCUCGGACUUGAUGGAUAUGGGUCCAACAUUUGGACUUGAAUACAUUUGGGUUUGGGACAGGGUCUAGCCAGACCCAACCAAUUGCCACCCCUAGUUUUACCUCCAAAAGACUCUACGUUUUAAAAAAUAUAAAUUACGAGCCCAAUCUACCGAGCUUUAUUUUUUAGAAAAUUAUAAAAAGGAAAAGUUUAGGGAAAAUUGCAAGUAUCCCCCAACCAAAAUUUUUCUUUCGUAACUUAUAUCGUAAAAUCAAAUUUUAUAGCAAAUACUCCCCGUACAAAAAAUUAUAACUUUUUGAACAAAAAUACAUUUUAUAAUAGUGUCAGACCGGAAACAAAAAGAGCCGGAUUGAGGGAACCUUUUGUCAAACUACUCUCUACCGACUGGAGCCCAUUACGAGAUUGCGAGACAGCAAAGAUUAUACAAGGUUGAUACCUUAUCAAAAUAGGUCAACUAUUUAACAAUGGGAGAGUAUAAAAUGGGAUCAUCAACCUUUAAUACAAGGGAGUCACAUUAAUCUUGACCAUUAGAUAUAAAAUUGGGUGGCUACAAUUAUUUUAUUAACCAAGCUCAAACUUAAAAAAAAAAUUUCUUGAACUUCGUAAUACAUCCAAGCUAUCAAAUUUUGCAUCAAAUGGCUCUAAAGAAUUGUGACCGCCUUAUAUUAAAGGUCAAUUGUCUUGUCAUAUACAACCCCUUUAAACAUAUACAUAUAUUUUAUUGGAUUAAUUCUAAAGUACAUAUCAAGAUACACAUAACCAAGGAUAAUUAAAAAAGAUAAAUAGUUAAAUUGUUGAAAGGUCAGGUGUAUUUUUAUUUAUUUUUAUUUUUUCCCCUCGCAGCCAAACAUAGAUCAUUCCUAUUGUCAACCAUUCAAUUUGAAUGGGUAGUUGAAAUAACUUCAAGUGUGAUGUCACAAAUUGGUUUUCUAAGAUAGCUCAUAUUAUUGUUUGAUUUUAUUAUUAUUAUUUUAUUUUAUUAAUCGUUUAAAAAUUGGGGCUACACAUAUUUAAAAGAGCACACUAGAUAAAAUUAACAAAAUAAUAUUUUUAAUAUAAAUGAAUAUGAAGGGUAUUUGGAAUAUUUUAAUUAACAAUUUUAUUUUCAUUUAAAUUUUGAUUAAAAUACAUAAUUAAGAGAUUAACUAUUUACAACUAUUCCAACUCGUGAGGGUGUAUAUUUUAUUGCAACUUUAAAUUAAAUUAAAAUAUGUAAUAAAAUAUUUAAUUAUUCAUCUCUAACGGAAUUUUGAUAAAUUUCCCUAAGUCUACCCAGGUGAGGGCACGCCCCAUAUUCAUGCAAACUUAAAGCAAGCUAAAAUUUUUAAAAGUAAAAAGAAAUUUGAGAUGUGAAUCUAUCCACAGUGACCCUUGAAAUCUUUUUUUUUUAUUUGGGUAGGUGAUAGUUUUAAUCAUAUGCAGCAUCGAAUUCUACUAGCCAUGUAAAUUAAAAUUUCAUUCCAUAUUAAAAACAAGUUAAAUAAGACUUUCCGUUACUUAAAGUAAGGCACACCUUAAAAUUUUACGAAGAGAUGUAGUUUUUGUAUUAGAAACAUUUUUGAUGGUUUUAAAAUUCAUGUUCAACUCUAAUUUGUGAUGGUUUUAAAAUUCAUGUUCAACUAUAAUUUGUGAUGGUUUUAAAAUUCAUGUUCAACUCUAAUCGAUCUUUAAAAAAGGGAAAAGUUUAUAUAGAGCUGAGGCUCUAAACAAUCAAAUUAGAGCCUACCUCAAAAAUUUCACCAUAAGAGAUUGUUUUGAUACUCAGAUAUUCUCAAAUUGAUUGUAUCAACAUCAAGAUACAUGCAAAUGAGAAAAAAAUGGAUUUCAAGUUUUGAAAACAAUGCAUUUUGUAAUGCAUAUUUGAAUGUUCAAUUUUCAACAUUUUUAAGUUUUCAUAGAUCUCUCGAUCUACACUAUUUUUAAAUGUUUAAACUUUAUAAAUAAAGAUGGAAAUAUCUUUUAAGGCUGUUUCAAGGUAGGCUCUAAUUUGAAGGUAGACACUAUUUAAAGGUAGGCUCUAAUUUGAUUGUUUAGAGCCUAGGCUCUAUACAAACCGCACCAUUUAAAAAAUGAUGUAGAUUGAGUGUAUCUAUAAGGACUUUGAAAUCUUGAAAUAAGACAAUCUAAAUAACUUAUUACAAAAUAAAGCAUUUAUACGACUUGAAAUUCUUAUAAAAUAGAUUUUUAGACAAUCAUAAUGGUUUACUGCACUAUAACUGUAUUUUUUAUUUAUUUAUCAAGAUUUAGAUGUGCACCUUACUUUGAUUGUUUAACGUUACCCUAAUUUGAAAUUAUACAAAUAUAUAUUUUCAUAAUUUUGAAAUUUUAAUUCGAUUAAAUAUGACCCAAUAAAUAUAUUAUUUUAGAGAGGAAUUAAUUCAUAUGUAAGGUUUGUAUAAGGUGUCUGUCUUAUACUGUAUAAGUUAGGCGUACCUUUAAUUUUUUUUAAUAAGAUGUAGGUUCGAUGUUGGAAAGAUUAUGAUGGCUUGAAAGUCCAUGUUUCAUCCAAAUUAUGAAAUUUGAAUUUAAAAAAAUAGUGUAGAUCAAGCAUAUCUACAAACAUUUGAAAUUCUUGAAAAUAGACAAUCCAUAAAACUUGUUACAAGAUGCACGAUUUGAAGACGUAUUUUUUAUUUUUUUUAUAUUCAUAAAUAUUGAAUUCGAGAUGAUCAAUUUGAAGGUUUUCCAACUUUGGAACACGUUUUUUAAUUAGAUUGUUGAAAUGCAUUACUUCUAUUGUGUAAGGUCACGACCUUAUAUAAAAUUUAUCUCAUUUAAUUAUUACUUUAUUUGUUAUUCAAUAAUUGAUGAAGUUUAUAUAAGAUUUCAGCCUUGCAUUAUUGAAAGCCUUGCAUUAUUGAAGUAAGGUACACCUCCUCUGGACGAGAGUGCUAAGAUGUUGGGAGCCCUCCAAUCUAAUCACCUCGACCUCAAGAUAUAUAGAUACAAAAAAAAAAGAGAUUUCAAAUUCUCAAAAUAAUAUAUCUUGUAAGACCAUAUAUUUUCCCUCAAUCUAAGAUGAUGAUUUUUCAUUUAGGAGCUGUUUGGCGAGUGAGGUGUUGGUUUAGGGGAAAGAAAAUAAUAACUACUUGGAGGACUUGGUCUUCGACCAAUUCCCUAGGUUCGGGCUUAAGCUUCCUACUUUUUUAUCGAGAUUUAUAGAAAAUAAAAAAAUAGGUAUGUAUGUAGCCAAGGAGAUCAAGGAUGAGGAUUGUGAAUCCACUAUGGGCGGGUUUAAUCCCCGUCAUUCGCCCAACUCGUACAAUUUUGUGGAUUGGUAAAUGCUUGAAUAUAGAUGGUCUAGCUAACGCGUUCGAAUAUACACUAUGUUUAGGGCUAGAAAUUCUAUUUUUUUUCUACAAUAUUAUAUUCAAGGUCGAGAUGACCCAUUUAAAGGUUUUUGACACUAGAACCACAAAUUUCCUGGGAUGAGGCUUUGGUAAUGCUCAUUUAAUAAACAUUUGAGGUCUAACUACCCAAAAAAUAUAAAAAAUGCCAAUUUAUAUAAGCCCUAGCUUUUAUGAAAACAAACAAAAUCAUCACCUCUAAUCCUCGUAUGGAAAGAAAUUUGGGUAUAAAAAAUCUCUACGAUGCUUCUAAAAUCAAUGUCCAAUUGACUAUAAAACUCAAAGAUAAAAAAAUGGCAUAGAUAUUGUAGAUCCGUGAACACUUGUUUUGAUAGUAAAAUGGAUAGUAUGGAUAAUUUGUUACAAUAUACACUAUUUUAAGAGCUUGAAAUCUUAAUAUUUAUCCUAAUAAAUUUUCACAACUAUAAUAGUAAGGCGGAAAUGUCAAUUCAAAGAUUUGACUGAUACUAAAACUACAAUUAUCUGUAAGUUUUGAGACGAGGCUUUAUAUAUUAUGAUAGACUAUUUUUCCAAAAGAAAAAGUUUGUUUGUGAUUGCAACUUUAUACUGUUGAGGAAAGGUGCAUCUCAAAGUUUACUCAGUGGACAGUGUUCCACAUAGAAGAACCUUCAAACCGAUAAACUCAACGUUAAGAUGAAUGGACAUAAAGAAAAAAAAAAAUUUUAAGUUAAAAAAAUAGUACAUAUCGUAAAAAGUCAUAUAAACGUUCUAUUUUCAAGUAUUUAUUAAUCUGCUUGAUCUGUAUUAUUUUUUAAAAUUUAAAUUUUUUAGCUGAAGAUUAAAAGAGAUUUUGAGCCAUCAUAAGAUUUUCAAUGCCUAAACGACAUCUCUAAGUAGAUUUUAUAGGUCACCGGACUUCUACAGUAUAAGGAGGCAACCUUAUACGAACUUCACCCUUUCCAAAAUAGAAAAGAAUAACUUUGUGGUCCAAAGUCCAAACGAUCAAAUGUACGGAGCGAACCGAUGCCCUCUUUUAACCUCUUUUCAUCUCCAGCGCCAUGAAAUCUCUGGAGCAACUGCAACAUUUUUCUCCCUCUUAAUUUAGAGAUUAUUGUUCUUUGUUUCUGUGACUAAACGCCACAGUUAGGAAGCUUUCUCUCUCAUUCCCUCUUAGAUAUUUUCUCUCUACAAGGAAAUAAGGGUCUCUCUCUUCCAGAAUCCAUCUCUCUAGAAAACUCACAAAGUUUGGUCGAAAUCAGAUUUUGAGUAUCUCUCUGAAUUCUCUAUGAUUGAUGGGCCUGUUACUUUCUGUCUCUACAACUUAUCCAAUUAAAAUGCAUACUGGUUAAAAAACAGAACAAUGGGUGGGUCUCACACCCUCUGAUUUUUCUAGCCUUUUUCUUAUCUUCUUUGUUACACCAAGGAAAGGCGUUGCAACCAGAGUUUUCAGUUUUCUCUCUCUACACCGGUCCAGUGUGAACUCCAAGAAUGCCUGCAAAAUGAAAGCAUGGGUCUUUGCCCGAUUUCUCCGCAGCCCCCCAUGAAUUGAAAUGGGCCAACUUUCUCUCUCUAGAAUUAAUUCCAUGUGACGAGCCAUGAUAUCUUCCAAAAACGGAUGAUGGGUGUCUUUCGAAUACCAUUUUGAUGGGCUACCUUUACAUAAAGGUGGAGAAUUUCUGAGGUGAUUACGGAAAUGGAAGGGCAGUAUACCCAGCAGCGUUGUUACAUGAAUGGUGUGAAGCUUUCUAUACCCCCCGAACAAUCUGAUAAUGAUCGAAGCAGUGGAGAAUUGCGAGCGCUUGACUGCAAUGUUGGCUCUCUCUGUGAUCACAUUCGAUCAGAGGGCUUCAAUGCUGGGGCUUUCUCAGAUAUUGUUGUCCAGGCCAUGGGUAUCUCUUACCACCUUCACCGCCUCAUCCUCUCUCGUAGCUCCUAUUUCAGGUCUCUCUCUCUCUCUCUCUUGCAUCACAUAUUUAUAUUUUGUUUUUUUCCCUCAGUUGUGGUUGGUUUAAUGGUGGAUACUUUUUAUGAACUCAAUUGUGCGCAACCUGCAAAUUAAGAUGCAUGAUUUUUUAGUUUUGUUGGUUAUGCGUUGAGAAUGUAUUAUGAUCGAGUGUUGUUAUGAUCUUAGCACCAUUAUUCUUAAUGUCUUCCUCCAUCCACUCUUGUUCUUCUUUUCUCUAUGACUUUUUAUUUGUUUUUCUUUUUUGUGGCUAUUUUGCUUCAUAUGGUGUUUUCUGCACCCCCAAAACCCAAUUAAAUUUUGCUUUUUAUUUCAAAAAGCGAUCAAUAUGACGGUUUUGCAAUUUCAUUGCAAAAGUAUGCACAGGAUGUUAUUCCAUGAGACAUCCCAAACUUAGUAAGACAAUGGCCACUUGAGGUGAUCAAAUGUGUCUAUCAUAUGAUACCAAAUGCUGAUCCUACUCGCAAUCAAUAGCCUGUAGGGUAUUUAUUUAUUUUGGUCACUCAAUGCAACAUAAUGCCUGUCCUUCACAUGUUAAGCCACUUUUAUUGCUCAUCACAGUUAUUACUUCCAUUCAUCCCUUGGGAAGAGGCAUCUAAGGUAUUUAAAUCUACCCCCCCCUUCCUUGUUUCCAUAACUUUGUGGUGAAUUUUCAUCUUUAAUAACAUUGUUUCCUUUCUUAAAGAAAUGUCUUCAAAACUACUUCGACAAGACAACUUAUUCUGAUGUAGACUGGUUACUCUUAUAUUAUUUUUUACACACGAUGUUGUGUCAUUCUUGGUACCUCUCUUAGUAAUAGAGGCAUAAGAAUCAUGACAUAGCCAUGAAUUCCUUUUCCAAAGCUGAUUUCCAUGCUAUGCUACGAUUCACCUUUAAUAUUUGGGUCUGUAUUAUAUACCUUGAAGUAGUAAAUCUCAACUGCUGUUGAAUUGACCUGCCAGAUCCCGUUGCAAUUCCAUAUAUAUAUUUUUUUGAUGGUGUUAAUCCUUUUCCUCAUAGCCAUACUUUACGUCAACCUAUUUACUUGCCAUAGGAUGAGUGAUGAGAUGAGGAUGUUGAGUGGCAAGACAAGAAAUGAUAGAAUUCAGAAUGAAUACAUACGAGGGAACUUAGGGGUGAUUCCAACACGUGAUAAGAUGAGGGAAAGUAGACUCCAACAGGCGAUAAUACAACACCAGUUAGGAGGGAUGAAUUGGUUAAAGUGGGAGGCUCUAAAAGGACAAGGGGAAGGUCCAAAAGGACAUGGAUGGAAGUAGUGAGAAGAGAUAUGAUGACUUACGGUCUGAUUGAGAGUAUGAUGGUUGAUAAAGUAGAAUGGUGGAACCAGAUUCGUGUAGCUGACCUCAAAUAGUUAAGAUAAGUUUUGGAUGAUGAUUUUUGGUGAUUUAGUUAGUCAAUUUACCGUGCUUGAUAUUUGUCUUUUGUGUAGAGUUAUGAGGGGGCGGUCAAAUUAUAUAUUUGUCCUAUAUUGUUUUGUGUAAGAAUGGGUGGCCAUAUAUAUAUAUGAGUUGUCGUGAAUGCUCUCAGAUCCGUAGAGUCUAAUAUGUUCUGUCAUUUUAGUGGGUAUCCUGAUGUUGUUGCAUAUUCUUAUUUUCUAAGGAGAUUCUUAAGCAUUAUUCAUGGAGAUAAAUAGAAAUACCUUCAUUCUAAUGUUCGUUAUGUCUAGCAUUUCCAAACUACAAAAACAAAUUGGUCAAGAUUUCACUUCACAAACAUGUGCACAGAGAUACCCACCAUUUUUAUGUGACACGGGGCAUAAAUCGAUGUAAGAUAAUGAUUGACCUUUUAUAAUUAAUUGAAUCAAGGAAUCAAUUACCAAAGCAUACAACUAUGCGUGCACUCUUUCUAAAGUUAUAUACCAUCACCUUCUUUCAUGUAAAUAGCUUUCCUCUCAUGAUUGAUUAAUUUGUGUAAAUGACCAUUGGCGUGCAACUGAAUCAAUUGCUAAUGCGUUGGAGGUACAUAUGGAUUAAUAUUAUUAAUUUAAUCAUUUGCUUUAUUUGUGAUACUGAUAUUGUGCAAAUUCAACUUGCUGCAUCAUGCUUGGCAGGAACAUGCUUCAAGGUCCUUGGAAAGAGGCAAACGCACCAACAGUCACAUUGCAUAUUGAUGAUGAUAAUGUUAACUCGGAAGCUAUUGCAAUGGCUUUGGCAUACCUUUAUGGGCAUCACCCGAGGCUUAAUGAUAAUAAUGCUUUUCGUGUUCUUGCAGCGGCAUCAUUUCUUGACCUUCAGGUGUUUCUCUUUGAAUUUUUAUUUUUCGGGUGUCAUUGGUAGAAAAUGAUGUUAGGAUCAUGGAGUUGAAACAGGCCUCAUAAAAUUUUCAAUUUGGCUAUACUCAUCUAUGUUUGUCAUUUUUUGUAACUUUGUUGCAUUCAUAUCACAUUCCCAUGUUUAGGAUCUGUGUGCGAUAUGCACGGACUUCAUUAUAUCUGAAUUAUGGACAUCGAAUUUUCUAGCCUAUCAGGUCAGCAUCUUUCUCUCUCUUUCUCUCUCUCUUGCUCAUUCACAUGCUUCCUUACACACAUUCACCAUGGAUUCUGCAAUCAUAUCACAUUUCCUGAGCUUUACAAAUUGUUUUGUUUACCAAUCAGAUAUUUGCGGAAAGUCAAGAUUACGGGAUACAUGGAGAACGUGUACGAAAUGCUUGUUGGGGCUACCUAUGUCAAAGUGGUACCAUAGAGUUGAAGGAGGUACUUCACAUAUAUUCCUAUAUAAUUGUUUCCGGACCAAUUAGAGAAGCUUAUAACAUAUUGCACAGAGUUCUUUGAACACUUUCGGUUGGUGCUUUAGUUAGACAUGGAUUUUCUUUUGCAUGCUAUGAAUCCUUUAGCAUUUUAGCUGAUGCUGUGAAGGUUCACCAUGACUCUGGUAUUGAGGCAGUGAAUUUUUUUUUCUUCUGGAUCUCGUUUGCUGUCUUGUGCUUUUUAUAAUACAAGAAUUGAUCCAAGAUGUAUUGAAUUGUGAACAAUUUCAAGUUAACAAUGCUGACCAUAGUUAUAAAUGCAAAGCAUCCUUGUAUUUCAGCAUGGCUUUUUGGCAGUAUGUUUCAUUUGCAGAGAGUACCCUUUAGGCUUCAACAAGUGGUUAUACAUAAUCAAUUUCAUGACAUGAAGCAGUAUAAAAGCAUUUGAAACAUCAUUAAAAGGGUCACAAAAAAGCAUAUGAAGUAUUUGAAAUAUUAUUCUAAGUGGAACAAACUUGUCAAUUCGACAAUUUCCAUUAAACACAACAGUGCAUAUUUGGAUGGAUCCCAUGGGAAGGAGCUUCGUUUGUAUUGUUAGAGUGAUUGUUAGAGUUUGGUGAAAAGAAUUGAAAGGAUGAGAAUCCAUAUAUAGUGGAGUCCCAUGUUGAGAAUCAUUAUGACCUCAAGGAACAUGGUCAAGUUGAUUCUGGUGGUUCUUGUUCUUGAGUUUGAUUGUAUAUUUUGAGACUUGAGAGUCGUACUUCGGGUGUAAUCCUGGUCCAUUGAGUGUGAGGUUGUUAAGCUUUCAUUAUUGCCAAAAAAAAACUCUUAUCUUAUUUUAUAUGUGUAAUUUCCGGUUUCUGAAUGCUGAUACUUAAAUAAACAAUCGAGCAUUGAAUAAGAGAAUUGACAAACACUGUUGAGUGGAACUCCACAGCAUACCUUAUAAUGCACUCACUGGAGACGCAACUUUUGUAAAACUUCAUUAGGGUAAUAUAACGCCUAUCCACCUAGGUGAGUAUUAUGGUUAUGUAUUGCUCUGCAAUAUUUCUUUUCCAAAGGGCAUUGAAUUUGUUUGAGAUGGAUAUCGUACAUGAGAUUAACUUUUCUUACACUUUAUAAGGCGGGAUUGCUUAUUACAUGUUUGUUUAAGGGACAAUUUCCUAAUUGUAGUGCGAAUAAUAUGAGUCUUUUUGUUGCACAGGUUCUCCCUAAACUUUCUUCUCAAACAUUGCAUGCUCUUCUCACUUCAGAUGAAUUAUGGGUACCCAGUGAAGAGAAAAGGUAAGAGAGACAAACCCCUGCCAUAAUCUGGAUUUUCAAGUUUAGUGAAACCCUUUCUUCUUGUUUGAAGAUUUGAGCUGGCAUUAUACGCCCUACUGGCAAAAAGUAUGUUAUUGGAGGCAGAUAAUAGUGAAGAACCAAAUUCAGAAGCGGAAUCUAGUGCUUCUCAGAAUGUUUCUGUUAAGGGGAAGAAUUUGGUCGAUGCAAGUGUUAAUGAACAACUUCUAGAGUCUGGCUUAGGAGGGAUAAGCUUAUGCGAUAAACAAGAAGGGCACAAAGCAGCUCAUAAGAUAUUGGUUGAGCUCGCUGAUUGUGUAGUAGAUUUCAAUGAACCACUGAAAGUGCAGCAAGGGUCAUGCUCCCAGCAAAGUGUAGGUUCAAAAUACGCAAACAACAAAGUUGGGGCGCCCAAUUUACCAAGUAACUUGCAUGGUGGUUUUGAUACAAUCAAGACAUGCAAUGUUUAUGUGGAAAUGCAAGAAAAUAUGGAGGAAAGUAGAAUGAGUAGUAAUGAUGCUUCUAUGGAGGAGGGUCCAUCAGAUGAAAAUAGUUCACCAUACCAUGGAAAUCAUGAUAUCUGGGUUUCUAGGGAUGAAUCAAAAGCGACUUCUUCUAUUGUGUCCCCUUGCAAUGGGGUUAUGCUAAAUGAUUGGGGACGAUGCAAUUUAUCUCCUUCUCCAUCAUGGGGUGGCAGGGUAGUUGGUAGAAGACAGGCACCAAAUUAUGUCAAGGGGAGGCCUAAUAUACACAGUGAGGAGUAUGAUGCAUUUCUUGGCAUCUUUGAAGGGGGAUCCCUUUUAUACUGUAAUAUGUCUUUUGACGCAUUGCUGGAUGUGCGAAGGCAGCUCGAAGAACUGGGUUUCCCUUGCAAAGCUGUGUGCGAUGGUCUUUGGCUUCAGGUUAGAAAAUCAGCAUACUUUUUCAUGAUAUAUUAUAUGUCAUUACUCACAUUUGUACCUCAUAAUGAAUACUCUCUUCUCCCUCUCUUGUCAGUAAUGACAUUGCAACACGAGCACUGAUUCUCUCUUAUCAGUAAUGACAUGUCAACCUGAAAAUGAACUCUUCUCUCUCUCUCUCUCUUUCCGCCUAACACACACACACACACACAUCAGGAGUGACAUUCUAACCUGAAAACCAACUCUCUCUCUCUCUCUCAUCAGUAAUGAAGUUGCAACAAGAAAACUAAUACUUGCUCUCUCAUCAGUAACAAAAUU